CCUUCUUGCCUGCAGUGGCCCUAUGGUCACCAAAUACUUGAACAUCUAGCUUGCUUACAUUCUCAGCUACAAGACCAACAUCGAGAAUCUGUUGAAGCAAGUGAAGAAGCUCAAGGCCGCAAGAGACAUGGUGCGGUGCGCCAAGCUGCCGAAGACGCCAAACAGAGGGGCCAAGUUGCAAUCAGAGCUGAAGUUGAGAAAUGGCUGACCAGUGUGGACAAGCUCACCGAAGAGGUGACCAAAUUCUUCGAGUACAAAGGUGAUGCCAACGACGGCUGGUUUCGUUGGUUCUAUGGUUUGUUGAUGUCGCGAUACCAGUUGAGCAAGAAGGCAAACAAGAUGAUAGAGCGUCUUGUUCAACUCCAGGCCGAUGGAGCCUUUCUAAUGAAUUAGUUAGUAACUUAGUAUAAGUUGCUUGUGAUUUUAACUUGUUUCUUCAGCACUUGUAUGUUUUGUAACAAUUGAAUGAUGUCUCUGUGUUUAUGAAAUAAUUUGCGUAUUGAUCGAUUUAAAAAAAAAAGAAGAAGAAGAAAAUAUCAUACAAGUUUGAUCUCCAUUAAUGGAGAUUAGGGCUUUGCCUUUCUCAUAAUUUUUUGCCAAAGGCUUUCUUUGAAUUUUCCUGAUGAAAUGCCAAUACUCCAUCUUAUGAGCAAGCACUCUCCUAACCAUUUAAUUUUUUCCAUUAUUGUCUUGUAUGCCUGCUCAAACAAUCUAAAAUCAUGAACUGCUGAAGUCGAUCGAGAUCUCAAUGCCCUUAAUGCAUGGCAGCCUUCCACUAGGCUCAGCUCAGCUUUGAUACUUCAUACUUGAAGGCACAUACUAAUGAUACUAAACAGCUCAUUUCUAUUUUCAGGUGUCUAGGCCUAAGCCCAAGGAUGAAGCAUUAGUUUUUCAAUUUUGAUAAUAAUAAUUGCAAAGUGCAAUGCUAAUUAGUCCUAAAUCUUUAAUUAGCUAGAGCAUUGACAUUUGUAGGAGGAACAAGGAUGAGACAAGAGCAGCAGAGUCUGAAACCCAAUCGGACUACAAAGUUGGAAGAGUAUUGAACUACUGAUCUAGCUUCCAAUGACCUGUCCUUGACAAUAUUUUACUUGGAACGUAUCCCAUCUGCUAGCUAGAUCGAAGCCAAAAUUCAAAUGAGUCGAACACUUGACAAUUGGCAUGAUUAUUAUAUCAGCCAAAGGGUCCUGCAAAUUAAUAACCAGAAACAUGCAUGCAUGUGGAGUUUUACACAAGACAACUAGACAAGGAUGGUGAAACCCCCAAUGAAAUGCAGAAAAAUUUGACAUCUCUAGCAGGGUUUCUGGUUUAAUUGCAAUUUUAAAGUUCCAGUAGGCUAUUGCAAUUGCAUUCAUUUAAGAAUGGGAUCCUUAAGAUCGAUGAGGAGGCAAAUGCAAACGACGGAUCCCUUAAUGGAUUCUCACUUAAUUUGGAGUUGAAACUUGUCGUAUUGCAUAGGAUGCCAAAUUUCCAAUGGGGAUAUCUUCUAAACUAGUUCCAAUUGGGGUGAGGUAGCCUAUUCCAAGACCGAGCAUUACUAUAAGGCCUCCUUGCAUAGAUCGAUAAUGCAAACUAAGAGUUCAAGCUUCUGUCAUGUUCCACAUAUCCAAACACAUAAACAUGAAAAACUCAGACCCAAUCAACAUUUCAUAAUUAAGAUACAAUCCGUAACUUAUUGCUUUGGUUGCUAUAAAAUAUCCAAGAUCUCAUUUCUAGUCUUUACCAUACUUGUUUUGUUUCUAUUAUUAAAAUUCAACAUUCAACAUCCACCUGCUUAAAAUUUUCAAUGGGGAAAGCAACAGUUUUGUAUAAGCCUAAUAAUGCACCGAAAUGAAACCAAAAAAGUCUCCAUCUUCAGAAAACUAUGAGCAAACCAGAUUUUGUCGACUUGCAGCUUAGCCAUGGUCAUCCUCUUACUUAGGGACCAUAAAGAAAUGGACAAAGGCUCUUCCAGUCAAUUUCAUAUCAGCAAUGCCCGCCGCUCUUUAUUUUUUUGAUACAAGUUGUAGAAAAAGAAGGCUAAACUGAAAUAUAUCGACAUUGAUGUAAAAAUCCCACACAAAUUUAAAAGAGAAAUUACACACUGAUCUGUAUAGUCUCCUUUUUCCUAAUUUCUAUACCUAUUUCAGGCGGUUUCAAAAAAAAAAAAAGAAGAAGAAGAAGAAGUACAUGUAUGCAUUCGUCUACGAUCUUCCAUUGGUUUGGUUAUGGCCAUUGGUGACACCAUUUCGUGCCAUGGCCAUUUCAGUCUCAGCAGCUUUAUCUGCCUCCUCUCGGAACUUCUUGUAUAUAUCACUCUGGUAAAACUUCCUUGUCCUCAUCACUAAAAUCAAUGAAACCAAUGCCCCAAAAAAUGUGGCAGCUGUGAUUAUAAUGAAGGACAACUUGAAGCACUCUCCACCAAGACAAGUCAACUCCUCGUCUUUAUUCCUCUCGAGCCCUUUGGCCACCAAUUGCUUCAUCGCCUCCUUAUCGUAUACAUGACCGGUGAGUUUCACGUUGAGCAAGUACAAGCCGACGGGACUCGCGGCUGAACCAAAAUUGUACAAAGUCGAGUAGUACUUGAGCCCGAAGAGCUCAGAAAUUAUGGCGAAGAGCAAAGGCCAUUGAGCGCCGAAGCAAAACCCUAUUAUGACCGAGGCUAGGUAGAGACCAUUUUUAACAUUGAAGGCAAUGAGGAGGUGACCAAAGCAAGAGACAAAGAGGGUUAGGGUUAGAAUGAGAGGACGAGGGAACUUGUAUCGUUUUAGUAAAAAUUCCGAGACGAAUCCGGCGACGACUCUACCGAGAUAAUUCCAUAUGCUGACCAGGCCGACGAAAGUUUUCCUGCUGCGUGUGGGAUAUCCCAACGAAGUGCCAAUCUGACCCAAGUUGUCAAUUGCUGUCAAUGUGCCCCCAACACCACAUAUGCACGCCAUGAAUAGUAUGAGCAUGUCAAUGCUGAAUAGGGCUUGAAGAAUAGUGUAGUCUUCUCCUCUAUUUGGUGGCCUAAAACAAGUUUUCCAACAAGAUUGGCUAGGUUGUUCCUCUGUGGACUCAGGAGUUUCAUAUGUGACCGGCUCCUUUGACACCUCUAAUUGUUCUUCCGUGGGAACGACUGGCUUUUCCGUCACUAUUUUGACGUCACCAUUCAUCUCGAGCUGUUUUCUCUCCCAAAGCUUGUACUCCUCGAUUACAACAACAACAACGGGAAGAGCGAGCAAGAAGAGCACCAUCGCCGUGCUGGCGCCGUACUCUUGUUGAGUAAAGUUCACCCUAUUCUCUACUAUGAUCAUGAUCAUCAGAAAUCCGGCGAGGCCGAGAGAGAUGUACAACAUGUUGUAGAACACCUGGACCUCGUUGCUUUGUCUAAUCACCUUCAUGAUCCUAAUAGUCCUCAGAAAAGCGAACGAGAUCGCCGCCGGAAGCCACCCGAUGAGCAGAAUCAAGGCCCUGGUGUCGUUGUAGUAGAAAGCAAAGUACAUCUGCGUGAUGAUAGCGCCACUGAGGCCGACGUAGCCCUUGAGAAGCCCUAAAACGACGCCGCGGCUCUCGGGGAAGUUCUUGACGCAGGUGACCAGCGAGCCAGUGUUGGCGAACGACUGAGAAUUGGCGCCGAUGCAAAUGUACAAGCACAUCUGCCAGACUUUUGGUCUCGCGAUUUUUUUGGUGACGGAGAGCCAGAUCAUUAGGUAUCCUAAGAAGUUGAGGACGGCGCCGACCAGCAGGACCACCCACGGCGGCGUGACCUCGUUGAGGAGGCCGGAGAGGAUGCCGACGUUGGAUCCAAAAUCUUUGAAGAAGCUGAGGAGGUUGAGUGUAGAUUGGUCGUAGGCUAGAGCUGUCUUGAUGUCGGGAGAGUAGAGGCCGAACAUGUAGGUGGCGCCGGCGGCGGACAUGAUUAAGAGACAUGCAAAGACCAUGAACCACCGGCCGUUGAGGACCUGGAGGGUCAGGCUUUUGGUGUCGGCCCAUCCUCGAGGACCGGAACCCGCCAUGGCUGGAUUGAUAUAUGUAUCUAGCUAGCUAGGUUGAACCAGAGAGAGCUGUAAGCAAACUUUGGUGUGGAGUAGAGAGAAAUGUAGGAGGAAUAUAUAGAGGAAGUCACACAAAGAGAGCAAGUGACAGAGAAAGAAGAAGAUAUAGUGUCACACCAAGACUUGGUUGACUACGUUUAUAAAUGGAGUAAAUGGGAGGAGUAAAUAACUGAGGAACAAGAUAGGAACGAUAAUCCGAUCCCCUAAUAUAUAUUUCAUCUUAUCCAGAGGAAAACUAAUGUGGGGAAAUUAAAGAGUGAAUUUCUUUAAUUUGGAAUCUUCAGCUUCAGCUGACAGUUAAGUGUUCCCUGCUCAUAUUACGCCACCAUUUUGGACAAAGUCUACUAUACGUACUUAUCCAAAAUGAAUAAAUAGAGAUUAAUUUUUUUUUUUUAAAAAGACGGAUAAAUAUCCUAGCACCAAAAUUUUGAUUAAAUAAAUAUUUAGAUACUUUCUUUCUAAAGAGCAUGUGCGGGUAUUUUUUUUAUAUUAAUAUUAUGGCUACUAUCAAUAUGUAAUAUUUCAUUUUUAUUACCUAAUAAAUAAAGUUCAUUAAUGUCAUUGAUUCACCCUUUAAAAUCUAAAAGGAAAGCUUCUUGAGUCUUCUUCUCUUGUGGAGGUUCUGGUAACCUAUAAAAGGAAAGCUGGACGUCCGAUUGGAAGUAAGAAGCCGCGACAAAACAAUAAGUCUGUCAUACCUCCGCAAAGCAUUCCUGUCACUUGGGAGGUUGGUACGUGCUCUUCUGAUAAGGGCAAAGGUAAGGCUUGAGCUGUUGGGUGUCCAAAUCCGGGGUGCCCAAAGUAGUUGGGCUUGGGUUCUUUUUGGGCCUGUGCUCGAUCCUUUGGGCCCCUAGGUUUGUUUGGUCCCGCAGUUUACCUAGCAUCUCAAUUUUAAUUUUUGAUAUUUAAUUCUUGGUAACUCUAGUUGUACACUAAUUGCGGUCUCUAAGCGACUAGUUUUACUUCCAAUGAAAGUUAGAUAGACACUUUGAAAUUCGGGUGUGUACGUAGGCAUAAUAAGUGAGCUUAUAUAUAUGCAGUGAGGGCUACCUAUCAGUUAGUCUGUUAGCUUGGGUUGAAUUCAAUAUUUGGCACAAGACGUUAGUUGAUGUAAGUGUUUUUUUGCCGUGGAUAAAUAAUAAAAUUAUUUAUUUAAAAAAAAAUCUAAAAGGAAAUAGAAAGGGUAGAAUUGAUAAUGCAAUAUUAUGAUUUAGAAAAAUAUAUUAUAUGGAAUUGAAAAUAAAUAUUUUUAUUUAUAUGACAUAAUAUAUAAGAUUAAAGCCACAAAUUUUAGGUCUCACCCCCUCAUAAUAUCAACGCCCUUAUUAUGUAUGACUCAAUAACUUAUUACUUUCUCACCUUUUUUUUUUCUUUGAUACGUACGUAGUUUUCUUGAAUUUCUUCCAAUACAUCAACAUGAUUAAUUCGUUUUUAUUGUUUUGGAUGAAGGUUUAACCAAGAUAACUACAAAGCCUAAGGAGCUGGGGUCCAUGCAUCUCGCCUUAUUCUAAAGGGUAGGAAGUGGCUGUUGAAGAUGCUCGAGGAGGAUGGUUUGCUAGAGGAGGUAAAUCCCUCUACUGAUUCUUCAGAAGCAAUGGAAGUGGUUGGCAAAGAGGUAACUCUGCCUCCAAAGAAGAAGCUUUCAACUGAAGUUGCUACAGUACAUGGAGAUGAAAAAGGCGGUAGUUAAAGUGGUGAACUCCACUUCGAUUAUUACAUCUGCUUGAUCGGGAGAUCGACAAGAAAAAUAAGAAUUAUGUUGACACAGUUUAUAACACUUCGGAGUUUUUAAUCUCUUUGUUUUUGGUUUUAUCUUCGUAGAAGGUGAGUGUAUUUGGAUUUAGCUAGGAUAGUUUGUGUGAGAAGCGUAUUAUGGGCAUGUCGUUAUUUGUAUUGUUUAUUGAGAUUCAUUAAUGAAUAACCUCUCUUUACCAAAAAAAAAAAAAAACGUCACAACAAUGGAAUCACGAGCGAGUUAAUUGGAGCAUCAGAUCGUACUUUUCUAUCAUCUAUGAUCACUCACAAUAUCAAAUUCCACAACGUUGAAAUUUCAUAAGAAAUGGGAACUUGUAGUACGUGUCUCUACGUACUUGCCUCAUAUGGUUACUUGCCCCUACUUGCUUUCUCUCAACAAAUAUUGUCAUACUAGUCCUCUCUUUUUUCUUUUUUUUUAUCACGUUUGAAUAUCCAGCAUUUAACCGUCCAAAAAUAAAAAUAAUCUUAAAAAUUUAUUAAGUACGUUUUAUCUAAAUUAAGUGUCUUUCUAGUAACUUUCGUUGAUGAUGAGAUUGAAUAUUAACAUGCACUCUAUGAUCACAUCUUGCUGAUUCAAGUGAAAAAUUUAGUAAAUCAACAAUCUGUUCGAUCGGUUAUAAUUAGUACUACAUAAAACAACAGUGAUUGAUUCGAUAAUAAAUCCCCUUAUCUUGAUGCCUUAUACAUAAGAAAUAAUUGGAGUAGUAGUUUAAUAUAUGAAUUCGUCAAUGUAGGUGCUGGAUAUUUCUCUAGAGCAGUUCGCAAAUGGUGAUGCAUGCUUGACGCGGAGCUAGCUCGAUCGCAAGUAGCUGGGAACACAAUACUGGAAUUUUCAAAGUCAUGCAGUAGCUUUGACUAUGAAGAUCAUGACUGAUGGAUCCGAUCGCCCCUCAUAAUAUCAGCAAUUUAUUCAUUUGUGUAAUACAAAGUCGGUCGGAAAUGUCUGGUACAAGAGCAAUCAAUAGCUUUGAGGAAAUAGUACAUCUUCAAAUAUGUGGCUAAGCCCUGCCCAUUGAUUUCUGAUCGAUUGUUCAUACGGAUGUCGAUCGAUGACAAUAUGUUGAGUGGCUAUAUAUUAAUUAGUGUUGUCUUGUUAAUUACCAAUUUUGUUCUUCUUCAAAUCAUCGUAAGAUAAAGUAUCUCGCUGGAUCAUUAUCGACAAAAUAUAAAGUCUUUAAUAUAUAAAGAGUAUUAGUUUGUUAAAUCUAUAUGUCAGUUCAAAUAUUGGUGAACAACAACAGAUCGACAACUAGAUCAUGAUCGAUCACGCUAGUUGGAUAUCAGAGUUUCGAAUGUGUGAUUCCCUUAAUUAAAAUCUUGCGAGAGUGCAAAGUACCUGAAACUCUGGUCACAUUUGUUUCGCCUUCCUUUCAUUCUUUCCAUCGUUCAUACAUUAAUCUUAUCAAUUUGUGCUCCACUACCCAACAAACAAUACAGCCUUCGUGUUUGUGUGCCUGGUAAUAUAUAAUGAAGAACUACAAUGCAUGUAUACACGGAUAUCGGAACUCCAAAUGAUCCUAAAUGAUUAAUUUUUUGCCAUCAUUUGUAAGGUCUUUAUCAUAUCGUGCGUGAUUGAAAGUCGUAUAUAUUCCCCCAAUUAGGGUUUGGAGUUAGCAAUUUAAAUUUAAAGAAAGAACAUUAGUUUGCAUCAAUACCAUUUAGUCUAGUGGUAUUAGUCUUCUAUUUGUAAGUAUGAGGUGCUAGACUCAUUGUAGCAUUUCAGUUAUUUGUUUGAUAAAAGAAAAAACAUUAGUUAAUUAAUCUAUAAUUAAUUUGGAGUUGAUUAAUCAAGAAUAAUUCAUGAUUUUAAUAAAUAAAUAUUUAAAUUCCUCUCUAACUUUAUGUAUCAAAUUUGAACGUUGGGAUAUGCCAUCACCUUGCUUGUACCAAACAAUCUUCUAUCUUAGUUUUAGUCAUUGCCAAACUCUGUCAGGUGUUAAUAAGGGAAUCAGAUCCUACGCCAUUCCCAUAUUAUAACCUUGAUCUGAUCAAAAACUCAAAUGUGAUCCAUUUUAAUAUGAAAUUCACACCCUGUCCCAUGUGUAACUCAUAAGUGCUCUUGCAAUAUAUUCGUGAAAAAUAACGACUUCAUGUUAUAUAUAUAUAUAUUGACCUAUCGCUACCUAGUGUGUAAGUUGUAUAGCAAUUAGCAUUUCAUUCUUUAAUUAUAAAUCAUUAAUUGGUCACUUUCUUCGAAAUUGGCAAUGGCAUUUCUAUUUGCUUAAUUGCUUGCUAUGUGAACUAAUCCUUAUCAUGCAUAGUGUGAUUAGCUAAUUAAAUAAAGAGUGCAUUGUUAAUUACAAUAACUGAUAAGCCAGCUUCAUAAGAAACAAAGUAUGAAUGAUAAGCUUUCAAUCAGUAUCAUUAACGUCUUAAAAGAAUGCGUUAGAUUGGAUUCUUAUGUUUUUGAUAUCGUUUAUUCAAACUUGCUGAAGGGCCAGCCUUUGCCGCACAGAUCGAACUUCUUCUAAUUGUAUUCUAAUUAGUUGAUUAGUCGUCUAUAGAUGUUCAUGUCAAAUUCGUAUAUACCUGAUAUGAACGCUCACAAUUGACCAGUUUGUUUCGUAAUCCAUUUUGUUAAGCUUAUUAGCACACACUCGAGUGAGGCAUCCAAAAUCUAUUUUCUUUAAUUUCCUUGCUCAAGUACGUAGACGAUUUGAUAUACUCCAAAUUACUCCAAUUAGUUUGUAACAGACUGUGGUCAAUGAAAUUCGCGUUUUUGGACAUUUGUAGUGAAAUUUUAGUUUUUUUCAUUCUUAUUUUACCAAACAAUGUGUCAUUCUCAAAUGACUUAUCUAAUAGUACUCACUAAUUGUUAGAUACUAUUGUAUUUGAAAAUACGAUUCUCGAUCAUUCACAAUUUGACAACUCAACAUAUGAACCGUAAGUAUAUACUCUUUUGUACUACUAACCCGACCUCGUUAAAUACUAGUUAUAUACCCGAACACAUGCUUGUAAGUGUGACGACUUUUUCGAUCGGUCCAGUCAGUACGUAGCCCUCAUAAGUUGUCAUUUACGAACAAAGCAUAGUUGAAUAUUGAGCAGACUACCCGUCACCAAUUUCUCAUACCAUAUUUGAUAUAUCCAUCCAUACAAGCCAAACCAGAGAAUUCAUACCGGUGAAAGCUACAACAUUACCUAUUCUAUACAUGGAAUCAUAUAUAGUACUAUUUUCCUCAGUACUCAUUCGUUUGGGGUCAAUGCCGCUGUUCAUACGCAAAGAGCAGCCACACGUAUACUUGCACAGAAACUUUGGAUAGAGGUUUGGUAUUCUUCUCGAGCUUGAUAUGUUGACGAUUCGAAAGAAGCGAAAGAUUUCCUGGUUGCUCUCUGUCUAUUUAUAUAAGAUCAACUCAGCUGGCUAGUCAACUCCCUUGAACAUCCGGCAUUGUAGUUUUCUGUGCUUUUGGAAAUAUGUUGAACUGAGCCACAAAGCGAUUCUGAUCUCUCUGUUUUUCGCCUUCGUAAAGUAGGCAGAGACCAAGUGUUUACACAGUGAAAGGGAAGAAAGAAAAGUCUUAAACCACAUGUUUAUGAUUCUAAUUAACUUAAUCUAUAAUCUUCAAAAUUCUGGAGCUAGACAGAUUCGCUUCCUUGUAUGCAGUUCUUUUGUUUUUGUUUUCCGAUAGUGGGUGUCAUUUCCAGCACUGAAAGGUUCUAGUUGAUGACAUCUUAAUCCAGAUCAUCAGAUUAUGUUUCUUUCAUAGAUAGAACUUAGAAGCUUCAUAUUUGACUUUGGAAAUAGGCCCUAAAAGAGCCUCAAUUUCAGACUUCGCUAGUCUUCUGGUUUUACUUGUAAAGUAGAAAGCUGCUUGAUGCUUUUCUCAGAUUCCUCUCCUAGCCGCAACAGUGACUGGGAAUUUUGACCCAUCUUGGAAUACAGAGCCCCUUGCGAAGCAGCUCCGCUCAUGAGUCCUUUCAUCCAUCUCGAAGACUCAAGAGAGAUAACUAGUCUGAAAAGAUCUAUCAUUAACAAGUUCACAAUCCCAUUGAGACAUUCCACAUGGAACUCAACAAACUUGUAUACUAGCUCUGCGGUAAGAACACGAGGGGAGAUAAUCUGGCCAAACAAUGAGUGUGGACUUUGUUAUGGUUUGGUAUCCCACAGUAGAACCAUCCAGCACGACUGAGUUAAGAAACAAAGUAAUGUUUGGACUCAAAGCACGUACUGCAGAGAGCCACAUAUGUUCCAAUAACUCCGUUUCAUCACAGUAUGCUUACACAAGGUCUAGAGACUUAUAGUUGGGGGUAUAGAAUUUCUACUACCAAAAAGACUAAAGAGAUGAAAAGAUGAACACAAACAAAUACUAAUUUUCAACAACAGGUCUAUUUUUCCAAUUAGAAUUACCCUAAUCUCUCAUGUUCCUUUAUUUCUUUGUCAACAAAAGAAUUAAAGGAUAGAAAGAGAGAGGGUUACAAGUAAUACUCAAACAAGUAACUAGUAAACGAUAGUAAUGCAUAAAAGUCCUCCUACGCAAAUUUACUUUCAACAUCCCACAGCAAGAAUCUAAAAAUCGUACACAUAACAGCUACAAGUUCAAUGAAAACUGACAAUCCCACUUUUAGACAUUAGUAGCGGUCAAAAGAAGAUGGGCGGCCUCCCCUGCUAGGGCGGUCGUAAGGGCCAGCCCUGCUACGGUAACCUCCCUCAUCUCUUGCUGGACCUCCUCUUCCAUAUCUAUCACUGCCACCUCUCACUCCACCAUCCCUGUCAUAGCCUCUGUCUUUUCCAUAGCCAUUUUGGGGGUAACGAUCAGAACCACCAUAUCUGUCACUAGCGAAACGAUCACCAGCUGGGUACCUGGAGAGAAUAAGUGCAGAAAGUACAGCAUAAGUGCAACUGUAUAAUUAAUUUUUUUUUUUCUCCCAUCACAUGUACAUAAAACAAAAUGUUUUAUUUAAGCAUUAAAGAAUAUAAAAGGGGGUCUGAAUGCACGCAACUCAAGUCUAUAAGCUAUAACCAUACAUAACGACAGAAUGGAACAAGUAGUGGAGAAGUAAUUGAUACCUGUCACUGACAUAGCGAUCACGGCUCCCAUAUUUGUCCUCCCUGCUGUCAAAACGAUCCCUAUCUCCAUAGCGCCCUCCAUCAUAACGGUCAUCCAUGUAGCGAUCAUGAUCUCCACCAAAGCGAUCCACACGCCCACCUCCCCCAAACCUAGAAUGUGAAGAGAAUGAACCUCCCCCUCCACCUCUUCCACCACCAGCAGAUGGGCAGUCUCGAGCCCAAUGUCCUGUACGCCCACACUUGAAGCAUUCAUCUUGGCCCACAGAUCUAUCACCACCUCCUCCAUAGCUUCUCCUGCCACCAGAAGAGUAUCCUCCCCCUCCUCCUCCUCCUCUAUAGCCAUGAUCAGAAUCUUCACCUCCCAUCCUGGGUUGGGCUUUGUUCACAGAGAUAGUGCGGGAACCCAAUUCCUGUCCAUGCAUCUCCCGGAUUGCAUCUUCCAUUGCUCGUCGAUCUCCAAAUGUGAUAAAACCAAAACCACGAGGACGCUUUGUAUCUCUUUCCAGCAUGAUCUGCAGAAAUUCUACAUUAGAGUGAUCAUACCCAGCGUCUACAUAAACAAAAAAAUUAGAGUGAUUUCUUCUCAACACAAUGAUACUUGCAAGAUUUGCAAGUUAGACAGAAAGAGCAUCAAACAACAAAAAUUAAGGAUGCAUUGCAUUAGACAUGUAUGACUCCACCACUCGGAAAAUUAAGGAUUCAUUGCAUUAUAAUAUGCAUUAUAAUUGCAUUCUACUAAUUCGAAGUAUCAAUAUGUAUAAUGUGAUACCACUGAACUGACAAAUGUGUUUCAAAGCAUGAUAAAUAAUGAGAAUACAAUUCAUAUAAUAUAUAAAUAGGAUAGAACAUUGCAAGUAGGGCAUGAUCCGGUUUAACUGAGAAUCUGAGAUUAACAAGCAAUUGAAACUAAACCCACACCGUAAACACACAUCUAAGAGAGGACAGGCAUUAUAAAUUAGACCAAUCAAGCAAUGAGUGAUUCAGAAUAUAUUUUAUCGUGCGAGUGACUAACUAAAGAACAAUAAAAUUGGAGACGCAAUAGGGAUUGUACCUAAAAUACGUUUUGCAACAAUCUAACUGGUAAUUAAAAAUGAGUUUAUACUUACUUUCCUUUUAUAAAUAUGGAUAACAGAGCACCAUUUCAUACUGGAAUAUUUCUGAUACUAGAAGAAUCCACAUCUGACAACAGAUGACCACUGACCUCGAAUUCCCACAACAUCAAAUGUACUGGUUCCAGCAUAAACUGUUCCAGCAUAAAUGCAUAUAGUCUCUACGCCCAGAACACUAUCACUUACACCAGCAGUUACAUCGACACCCCAAACAUCUGUCUUGUAGUCACAAAACCAAUAUUCUUCUGGCAAAGCUACACAGAUCAGCCAGAAAAAGGCAGCUCUUGCAGCAGUUGAUCUUUAAACUAUUCAAAAUUAACAACUUAUAAAUACAUCUAGUUACCCACGGCAGACAUCUCUACUCUGCAUACUAUGACCAACGUGUUCCAUAACUACAUGGCUCCAUCAGUCUUUCAACAAGUCAGAAACAGUAACCAAAACAUUCAUAAACAAGCAAGAUACUCUGUCCAAGAUAAUGCUGAUUCUCUUUCCAUCAACUAACCCUGAUAUAGUCAACACCUGAAAUCAUAUUUGUGUUUCUGGCUUUUUUGAUUUUUAGGAAAAUCCUACAAUUUUUAGUACUAUCAAAAAUUCGAACCCUCAGGUAUUAAGGAGUCUUAAAUCAAAGUUUCAACUAUAAAUACGCUAGAAACCAUCGAUAGAUAGUGAAGCAGUGAUGUUGCUGAGCUCAGACUUGUCCACACAAUAUGAUAAUCAAACAGAAUACUCCUUCUGACACUUUCAAAAGUGAAACUGAUCUGAAUGAUGACUCAAAAGACCAACAGACUGCAUUGCAAAAACGUGGUCAUAUGUGAACUUGCCAGACUGACAGUGUUGGAAGCCCCAGUGCUAAUGUCAAAAAAACUCUACAAGGUCUAGAUGAUCUUCAUUCCCCGCUAAACCAGCAUAAAUAGCUUAAUCAUCACAACAAAACAAUAAUAGCAGAUAAUAAGCAGUUCAAACAAAGUUCAAGUGCAAGGCUCAAAAGCAGCCCUAACUUCAAGUGUGCUCCUCAUUAGCAGAUGAGAGGAACCCAUUGUCAGCCAGAAACAGUUUAGAGUCACUAACCCAGACUAACCCCUCAAGCAUGAACUAACUAAAUCUGACACUUUGGAACCUCACCCAAUCAGUCAUCAGAAGUCUACUAUAUCUGAACAAAAAGUUAGCAAGAGACGACAAAAGCUUUGCGAUAUAGUAGCCACUAAGAAUCUGCCCACAUAACAGAUGAUUGAGUUGAAGUAGAUGACCCUCUGAAUUCUAUGAGAGCAGAAACAUGUGACAUGAAGGAGGAGGAGAAAUUAUCCGGCUCAAAGAUCUCUCAGAAGACAGACACAACCUUCACCGUCAUGUUUUGAAUCAAACCAACCAAAAAUAUUGGCAAGCUGAUAGAUAUAUGGGCCUUUGUUCUACUUAGAAAAAUAAAAUAAAAAAACUUCUUGCAGCAAAAGAACCAAAUCACUGGUUCAAGCAACAACCAUCUGAGGCUUCAGCACUCGAUGAAAAGAACCCAAAAACAGAAAGCAUAACUUCAGAGCAAGAAACUUCUCAUAUUUGACAUGUCAUCUGACUUGUCAUUUAGUCGUUUGAUCCUCUAAGCAAUACUUAUGGUCCAACUUCCCAACAUUACCACAGGACUUUCUUGUGGAACUCGCAUCUCUUCCAAGAGAUUAAACCUAAAAUUAGCUGCCUUGAACCAAACUCCACAAAUCGCGAGACCAUCUGCUAAUGUUUCUAUUUCCUGUCUUGAGAUCUGUAGUCCCAGCAGCUAUAAUCUACUACCAAAAACGACACACAGUCUGCAAACUCGAUGCGACCACUUAACAAAAACAGCUCUACGAAAUAUCCAUCAAUGCACGGCAUCAAAAGAUCAUAACUCCACAGAACAAGAAAACAAAAGAGCAUUAAUAUACAAAGAUAACAGCAAAGUAAAAUAAAGUAUCGUACAGAGAAUCAUCAAAACAGUAUCAAACACAUCUAUACAAUCUAUGUAGUGUACUAUAUCCAUACAAUCUCACUGCUCAAGAUCCCGAUACUACAACACCUUGCGUUUUGAACAGUAAAUUCACCAAAAUCAAAUCAAAAUUAAGCAUUUUACACUCCGAAAACCUUUGCAAGUCUCAAAUUUCAUUCCAACUUUAAAACCGAAAAUGUCAAAUUUUCUUUUUUGUUUCACAAAAUAGCACCGAAAUUCUCAAUCAAAGAAUCUAGCAGCAGAUCAAACGAGAGCCUCCAACUGAUUAACACAACCAAUCUUGAACCUUCUUUUACUAAAAUCCCUAAAUCGAACCCCGAAUUUCAGAAAGAAAUUUCAAAACCAGCAAAAAUUUUUCAUAAAGUUUUCAAGCAAAAGCAAAGAAGCUUCAACCUAUAAAGCGCAAGGCACACAAUUACAAGCGUCGGAGAACGAAUUGGGGGUUACCUGCGCUUCAUGGACUUUGCCAAAGCGAGCGAAGGCGCUCUCGAGCUCAUGCUCUGUGACUUCAUAGGCUAAACCUCCGACGAAGAUUCGGUACUCUUCUCUCCCGGCCAUCUCUCUCUUUCUCUCUUUCACUCUGUGUAUUUUGGUUUGUACCCAAACCCUAACCGCUUCGGCUUCUCUUUCUAUUGCCUCAGUCUUGCUUUGAAUUUCUUUUUCCCCUUUUCUUUUUCUAUUUAUUUACUUUGUAAAUUAGGAUAGGCCCCAAUUUUUGAGGUCCUUUUCACUUUAGUCCUCCAACUUUUGUUUUUUUUCUUUAGUGCUCCAAAAUAUUGUAAUUUUGUAGUAAGAGUUGUUAGAUUAGAUUUGAAUGAGACAUACAACUAAAUAUGACUAAUUUAAUGACUCAAUUAUAUAGUUUUAAUACUUCGGAGCACUGUGUAAUGUAAAGAAAAUCUCCAAAGCAACUAUAAAUCCCUCUAGAAUUUUGUGUCUUUUUGUAGAGAAUUGUAGUCUAAUAGUAAUUUUCUCUUCUCCAUCUUUGAUGUCAGGUCAAGUGACAAGUGUCGAGUUCGAAUCUCAGGGCGAAGCAAAGACAAGAAAGAGAAAAAAGAACUGAUCGAUCUUGAUUCAUUAUAGCAUUGGAGGAUGAAACAAUUGCAAAUAGUUACAGCUGUGAAAGAAUUACAUCAAUGGACAUACAUAAUUUACAGGGCUGUACAUGAAAUGGCACAGGUAUCAACAAGUGAUUGAAGUGUGAUCAACUUUCAGGCUUUUCAUCCCUACUUCUAUUGUUCUGAUAAAAGGGGGAGCCUAGUAACACUGCUACCACCACCCCCACCAGUUAGUGAUUUAGAGUUGGUCGAUUUUAUAGAACCGGAUUUUACAGGUUUUGAUGAACUCUUCUUGUUUAUCCUCAUGGGAAGAAUCUGCAACCUCGGAUUGCGCUUAGUGCCUGAAUUUUCAGCUGCCAACUGAUAACUUUCCACCAGUUCCAGCUGUCUAGCAAUUAUUUCGGAGCAUCUUGGAAGGAGCUCUACUGCCUCUCCACCAGGAAUUACAAUAUACUCGAUUGCAAGUCGAACCUCCUGACACAAACAAAAGGAAAUAUGUGGUACCAUUAAGCAGAUGAUAUAUGCUGACAGAUUCAAAAUCAGAAAUACUGAAAGCAAAUGUGGAGUUGCAUAGCGUACAACAGAGAGGACAAUUUCUCAGAAACUGCCGGUAGAGGUAUCCAUAGAAAAUACGUGGGAUGGGAAAGGAAAUGCACCUCCAAUGCAUCGAUCUCUUCUAAAGAUGGUUUUCUUUUGGGUGCAUCAUCUUCAAUUUCAAUGUCAAAGGAAUUAUUGACAAGCUGCUUUGGCAAAGAGCCAACUGAUUCCAUUUCAAGAAUCAUACGAACUGCCUUCACGAUUUGAGCCAUGGUAUUUGACUGCAAGAUAAACAUCAAAUAUGUGAGUGAGCCCCAGCAAGAUUACAGGCAUAUACAGAUACAAUACAUAGACACAGAAAGUCUAAACGGACAUUACCUUCAUGACAAAUACAGGCAACUGGUGAAAUUUUGCUACACUACGGAUCCAUGGGUUUUGCUUCAUUUCAGCACUUGAUGCUAUAAUUGCAUCUGCUGUUCCAAUAUCAUCAGAUACCUCAAUUUCAUCCUCAAGCCCCAUUACCUUUGCUACUUGCAGUAGGUCAGCUUCAAGGAUCUGCAAACAAACAAAAAUGAAGGGUCAAUUGAGAUCAUCUGCCUAGUCAGCAACUAUUGACAAUACAAGUUCUUAGGGGUUUUGGUCAAAUUACAUCCUUCAUGGGUGUAGAUUUCCAAUUAAAGCAGAAAGUGAACCAUGUGGAAACCAAGUAUUUUACCUUGUAUGUAUAUAUACACACUGGUGAACUUCUCUUCUUCGCAGAUUUAUCACUGCUCAAUCUUCUAGACACAUUGGGUGGAGGAUCUAGAUCUUCCUCGUCAGACUCCAAAACACUAGCAACUAUGUCUGUAGUAACAACAAAAUCUGAUGCUUUCAGAUAGUUGUGUUCAGAGAUUUGAGUAGGCAUGCAAGAGUCAUCAGCAUCAGCAUCAAUACGACGAACUUCAAACAAAGGAGAUUUCCCUAUAAGCCAGAAACCUUCAUAUCAGAUUAGGUGUUCCCUUACAACUACUCAAGUAAUAAGUACAGAUUCUAAAGGAGAAAAUGUGAAGUACCAGCUAGUAUAGCAUCAACUGUUGCAUCUAAUCUGUGAUGAACACGAAAUUCUGUUUUAGAUAUGAUCUCAACAGCACAUGUAAAUGUAGGAGGCCCCUUUCUUUCAAGAAUUGUCUUUUGAACUUUCCUCUUUCUCGCUUCUUCAUCUCCCAGGGUCACACUCUGCAAUUUACAUGAAGAAUUCCUUUAAUCUAUCAACAUUUCUUAUCCGGGAACUGCUUAAAUGGUAAUACCAAUAAUGAAUGAUCAUUGCACUGGAAAGGAUAAUUCAUACAAUAUGGCACCUUGCAGAAUUAAUGCCACUUUGUAUACCCUCUUUUAUUUGGUUAAUCACUUUGUACACUUACAAAAUGAUAAACUUGAUGCAUACCAGAAACACAAUUGAAAAAUGUAUAUAACUCCAAUUUGAAUGAAUAUAGAGUGGAUGGCAUUGUACCUCUAUGCCACCAACAAGGAUUUGUAAAGAAGGAUUCUUUAUGAUGUUGUCUAUUGUCAUUCCAUGUGCAGUUCCAACUAGUUGAACUCCUCUUUGGGCAAUAGUGCUGGCAGCCAAUGCUUCAAGCUCUGUCCCAAUUUCAUCUAUUAUAAUGGUUUGAGGCAUAUGAUUUUCAACUGCUUCAAUCAUAAUCUGCACAAAAGGAAAGGGCAAAAGAGAUUAUACAACCAAAUGAGUUGCAAAAGCGUAAUACUACUGGGGAACUAAAGCAACAGUGACAGAAAUGAGCCCUAUAAUCAAUGUCAACACUCACAUUAUGCUGCAUGUUGACAUUAGGAACUUGCAUCCUCCUUGCACGGCCUAUUCCUGCAUGCGGAACAUCUCCAUCUCCUCCAAUCUCAUUAGAUGUAUCCACUAUUACCACACGCUUCAUAUGCUCAUCUGCCAACAUUCUAGCAAUUUCUCUGCACCAACAACACAUCCAAACAAAAUUCAGAACAUCUUCGCUCUUUGAUUCCAGGUCACAGUAGGAAAACAUCAAAGUAGUACAUAUACCUGAUCAAGGUCGUCUUGCCAACUCCGGGAGGUCCUAUCACCAAGAUUGAACCUCCACCCUCAACCAAGUCGCGGAUGACCUCGGCACUCCCUGACACCGCUCUCCCCACCCGGCAAGUAAGUCCAAUGAUUUGCAGCUUUCGGUUUCGAAUAGCACUAAUACGAUGUAACGAGUUAUUAAUUCCAGAACGGUUAUCAUCCGAAAACUCACUAACCUGCAAACAAAACAAAAUUUCCAAAAUCGAAUAAGAAAACAUACCAAAAAAAAUAGUUCCAUCUUCAUCAAUCAACUUCUAAGUAAGCAUAUAAAAAGUUGCAGUCUUGUUUAAAUUGUUUAAAUAAAGUGAUUAGUUACCUACUAAAGAAUUAAACCAAUAAUUAACACCGCUAACCACCAAAAUGGCUUAAUUACUAUUUCUAGAGAACAAUUGUCACAGUCUUUUAUCACCUUAGAAACAGCGAGCCGGAGAUCUUCAUGGCUGACCGGAGUCUCCGAGAUCACCCAAUCACCGGUCGGAAACCUCGCGAUCGGAGGCCGCCCCAAAUCCAUCACAACCUCAAUGAGCUUCCCGAUCUCCUCAUGCCUGUACAGCUCGCUCUUCAUCCUCUCCGGCAGCAGCUCCAGAAACAUCUCCAUCUCCGUCCGCGACGUGGACGCCGAGCUCCCGGAACUCGAAGACGGAGAGUUACCGGAGAAGAACCGAUCCGAGGGGCGGCGAAUCUCCGGCGCCGGCGAGGUGGAGGAGUGUCGGGACGAAGCGAUUGACUUGUGCGCGCCACGUGUCCGACGAAAUGAGGAGGAGAGUUUGGAGGUGUGGAGAUAGCAGAGGGUGGAGAUGGGGAUUUGGUUGGCCGAGUGCCAUGAGGUCUGGAGAUCGAGUAGCACCAAUUGCGAGCUCAGAGCUCUCAUUCUGUUACAGACUGGGAUUUUGCUUUGAUAAUUUUUUUUUUUUUUUUUUAAGCUAACGAUCGGCGAGAAGAUUCGGGGGUAUCUCCACUGGGAUUGGAGCAUAUUUUGGAGGGAAGAUGGGGCCCACUAACCAAAGAAGUUCAUACACGUGGGGGCUGCUUCAACAGCCACACAAUUUUCCUCACCCUCCUUUUCAUUUUCAGACAAAAUAGAAUUCUCGAAAAUUUGUAUUUCUCUGUUCCUUGGUGUAUACGAUUGUGAAAAAUACACACUACACUGAGUACACGUAUAGAUUAGUCUGAUUCUGCUGAAAUAUUUUCAUGAAUCUCGAUGUAAAUAAUUAAAUACUGACGUGGUGGCUGUGUUGAUCAAGGAUAUAAUUGAAGUAGCUUGAUAUCUAAUUUUAACCCAAGUAGCUGAUAUCUAAUUUUAAGAAGAAAGAAAACAAGGAUGAAAAAGAAAAAAAUUGUAUGAAAGGCUGGAUGGCAAAUCCCAACACGCUUCCAGUCCUAUAGGAAUGGUCCGAAUGUGAGUAGGAGGAAAUUUUGUACUUAGUUGACGUUGGAAACUAUCAACUUGAACCAAACUAAAUGAACAUAAUUUCAGCCGUGCAAGGUUGGGGCAGGUCACUGACAAAGACGGCACCGCUGUGGCUGCUGACUAUUUCGGAAACUCAUACUAUGGUGGAAGAUCAAAGAGAGAAAGAAAUGCUAAGCAGUUGGCAUCUACUAAGAUGGCAAGUUCUAGGAGCAAUGCAAGUCAAGGUGGGAGGUAUGGGGGGUUAUGCAACUGAUAAACGGUCAUUUAUUUAUGCACAUUAUACGGUUUACACUUCAUACUCGGUUAGAGUAUUGCUGCAAUAUAGGCUUGAGGCUCAGAAACUACGCUGUACAUUGAUAAGGAUGGAAGCUGCUGACUAAAUUUGGCGCAAUCUAUUCCCAACCCAUCAGUAUAUUUCUUACACCUUCCUCGAUUUUGUUCCUUGGCACCGAAGGACAGAAUCCUUCAUCUAGCAGGAAUCUGUAGACCUCCCACUCCCGAUCUCGGAUCAUGUGUCUCACUAUCUCAGCCUGAAACAAGUUGGUAAAGAACACAAUGAAUGGUAGAAGGACGAAUUAUGUUGGAUAUCAAACCAAGAUGUAGGAUAUCACUGGAAUAAGACACUUAUAGUGGUGGUUAGAGCUAAUACCGAGAAGAUGCGUGUGCUCAGAUCUUUGAGGGCAAGAGUAAUGUCAUAAAAGACAAGAGGCCGGCCCCUGCCGGACAACUCAACCGGGUUUGCUACCAACAGCUCGGUGUCAGGGCCGCGGUUCACCACAGCCACACGAAGCGGACACAAAAGCUCCGCUCUCAAGCGAGAACACAAGGCAUCUUGCUUCUUGCUGUCAACAAUCUUCUUGCCAUCUGGUUGCACUACAAACAAGUCCAGCUCACAAUUCCCUUUUGUGUUCUCAUAGAAUCGUCCAUAAGAAACCUGAUAUUAAACCCAUAUUUUAUAUACAAUGGUCAGUAUUAUUCACUAAUAUGGUAAAUCACAACAACAACAAAGAGGAGGACUAAAUUGAAUUUUAUCAGCCAAAAAAGGCUAGAAGCACUGGCAUGAUACAAACCUUUUGCUCGCCAGAACUCACUACUGAUUAUAAAUAUAUCAAUUAUACCAACUUUACUUUACAUACAUCUCUCUAGUAUGAUUUUACCUGAACUCCUUGACCCAUGUAAAGUUUAUUGAAGUUUUAUUAGGAGAUUGAGAGCAUACAUCAAGCAUUUAACGUCAAACUAAUUAGUUUCUGCAUACUAACAUCUAUAUUAACAACAAUGACAUGUUUGAUGUGAGAAGGUAAAAUUGUGAACAGACCCUAAAAUUUUAUUUCUCCCCAAAAUUACAUAGCUUAAAAAAGAUGUACCUGAAGGUUGCAAUCCUUUAGUGUUCUCAUGAUGUCAUACACUAGACCUUUAUGAUCUGGACAGAAUAUUUGAACUAGUGUGUGAGAUGGGCUGAGGUUAUUGUCCACUGUUAUCGAAAUGGGAAUGGAGGCAAAAGGUCUUUUUAGGUGGCCGUUGGUCCACUCCAAACUUAACAUUUCUUCAGUGAUUUCAGAAGGAAGAUAAUGAGAACCCUGUGAACAUGCAGUAACUUUUGACUCGGCCAAUUCAAUUUCACAACCCAAUAAGACAUUCCCCAAGACAGCUUUCAGGCAAUGAAUUGUUUCAUCUUGCCGUCUUUUUGUAUGCAGCAGUUCUCUGAUUGAGAAAGAGAAAGAAUAUGAUUAGCCAUAUCUUAGGAGGAAAGAUGAAACAAUCUCAGAACUGACCCUCAACUGAUGUGCCCUCACACAGACACGAUGAUACACUAACACCUAGACCGGUAUAUAAUAAUUGCAAAAACAAGUUUAAAGAACCUAACUGAAAAUAUUUUGCAAACAAAAAUUGAAGGAACCAUGUUGAGGAUCUGUUUCUCUUUUACUCUAGAAUGAAACUUGAGAAGUAGAUAUACCAAAAAAAGAAAGAAAAGGAAAGGCAGAAAUGAUGCACCAUAUAUAGAUAGGGAAAUAAUGUCAAGAGUGACAAACCUGGUAUCUGUAACAAAAAAAAGGUCCAUCACUUUCCCAUCUGGGGUAGUAGACACCUUCACUCUCUCUAUUGUGAGUUCAAGCUCACAAAGAACCUUAGUGACAUCUAUUCAGUAAAAAGAAUCAAUAAUAAUCCCAAACUAAAAAUAUAUAGAAGUAUAGAUGGCACUUUUUUCUCAGAUAUAGAUACAUCGAAACAAGUAGGGUAUACCAGGUAAAGGAAAUGAAAGAAAAGACACAGAUAGAACCAUCACUUCUACAUUGAAGUUGCCAAAUGGAUAUGCACCUCAUUAUUCAUUCAACAUGACCCCUAGUUUGAUUUCUUUUCUCUAAAUGGGGAUAAUACAAUUACUGUACUCAUCUAUGCAUAAAAAUAGAUCACAAUGUUAAAGCUUUAAAUAGGCCAGUCUGAAGAAUAGUUUAUGAGUAACCUCAAUCAAUUUCAUAAAUUACUAAAUUUGGUAAAUUUUAGUUUAUACAUUAUGAGGGAAAUAAAAACUACUGAUAAAGCUUACAUCCUCGUAUACUGUUAUACAUAGAAAUCAAUUAUUUUCAGUCAGUACUCAGAUAUAGUCUAUAGUCUAUAUGAAGAACCCAAAUUGUCAUCAUUAUAAAGAUCACCGACUCUCUCUCUCUCUCUAUCAUCAUAACAAAAGAAGUGAUCUUUUCCAGCUCAAACUGUUACUAGGAUAGUUGCAUUGAAGAUUGAGAAAGUGUGAUGAAUCAUUUAGCAAGAGCAAACAACCGAAACAUUACUGUUAGAACCCAAAUGACAAAAUUCUCUAAGUCUUGUUCAUCUAAGUAAAAGUAAGCUGUGAAGAAUCAAUUCAGAGUGAACAAGUAAUCAUGCAAUGACAAUCUUGGAAAUGAAAGUUUACCAUGCAAUAGGCCUUCCUGUUCAUAAGAGCACCAGAAUUUCAAAAGGAACACAUCUAGUGGCUUCGGCUGCUGAUUCUCCGGCCGAUAAUAGUAUAUCCCAGAAGUGGUAAAGUAUGAUGGACACACUUCUAACAAUCUCUUUGUCAGCAAAUUCCACCUAGUCUCCGGCUUUCCCACCACCCAAAACACUAUGUAGCACCAUUUUCCGUCGGUCGAAACAUCUUCAACACAAAAGCAACAAAAAAUGUUCACUUUCAUCAAAACAGUAUUGAAUUCUACUAAUUUUCCACUACAAAUUCUAUGAUCCAUCAAGAAUGCCUUACUUUCUGCUUUACAACAAAAGAUCCUAAACUGAAGACUCAUUCUUUGUGUCUCUCUAAAGCUCGGAUCGACCAAUUAGUGUUUCAGCAAACUUCAAUAAAAUUCAUUACAUGCAUUCUCAAGAAUUUCAGAUCCAAAUAGUAAAAAACUUUUCAAUGUUCAAAACAAACCACACCACUUUCCCAGCUCAAAAUAAAAAACCACCUCCAGAAAAACCUCAAAUUACUCAGAAAAACAAAGCAAUCAAACCAAAAGCUUAAGAAAACCUCACCUCCUCUGCAAAUGCUCAGCCCAAACAACAAUAUGACCCUGCACAGAUCACAGCCUAACCCAGUUUUGUCGGGGCAAUUCACAGUGACCACAGUGGGAUCUCCAGCCUUCUCUCCCUGGCUAAUCACUACCACGUCCUCAUGCAAAAUGCCCAUUCCCGCCAAGUUCCUCUGUUUUUUUUUUUUUUUUGUUCUCUGUUUUCCGGUGACCAGAAAACUGAGCAAAAAGAUACCCAAGUUGGGUCUGGUGGGUAUCUUCCGAUUCUUGCUCUUGUUUUUUAAUGAGCAAAAUUAGUGGGAGAUUCCAAAUAAUAGAGGAAGAGUUUGAGAUCAGAUAGAAUCAUCCAGAUAGAAGAUAACAGAUGAUGGUUCUGUUUACUUAUGGAAUAUCAAUUUCUCAUAUUUAUCGGUGGGAGAGACUGAGUGAGAGACAGAGAUUAAAGUCUUCGAGACGUGGUGAGUAGGUGGACUCGAGUAUAGUUGAGACUGAUUUUCAAAGACAACUUUUUCGGUGUUGGUUUCCGACCGUCCUUAAUUUUCUGCUAUUUCAUGAAAACUAACAAAUAGAGUUUGGUGAAGUUCAAGUGGACCGGAAUCGUCCUACUAUAGGGGAACACCAUUAAUCAAUUUUGUUUUACAUGAUUUUGUUAUAAAUGAAAAAGAAUUAUGAUUAAUGAUACAGUCAUGAUUUAUUAGUAUAAAAUCUUAAAAAGGAAAUGGCCAUUAAGAAAUUUUUGGUUUCUAUAAAAAAAUAUGUCGACGGCAAGUCCCCUCAUCAUAUGUGGAAAUUGCGAAAUCGGUAGGUUAUUUAUGAUAUACAUACAUGGAGGAAGAUGCUACCGGUUCGUUGGGAGGUGGCAGAGAUAGAGAUCUAGUUUCAAUUAGUGUUGAAUGCCCUUUAUUGUUUCGAGUCAAGGUAUGAUAUUAGACUUACUAGUAGGUCAACAUAUUUAUGAGUUGACUGAAUUAUAAGCUGAUUUCAUGUCUAGUUACUCAUGUUGCUCUUAUGUCAAUACGGCUCAUGAUUCAAAAGUUCAUUAUAAGUAACGUUGCGAGCCUCCGUUGAGAAGCAAAAGAACCUAAGAAAAUUUUGAAUUCAUCGGUAUUUUAGAUAAAAUCUCAACAGUUCAUUUCUGACUAAUUUGGUGCUAAUCUCUUAUAGGGCUGAAUUCAGACGUUGCAUAAUGUGAUAUGUUGAAGUUUACGUAAGAAACUCGUAUGAAUGACUAUAAUGAAAAAUGCACAAAGGAGUACCAUAGUUCCCCAAAUGUAGACCAACAUUACGAAAAGGAAGGAAAACCUUCACCGAACACAUUUGAGAAAAGCACCUCACGCACAACUUGAUCUAGAGUGAGAAAUUGAAAAAUGUUGAAAAAUUAUUCUUGAUUCUAAUAUGCCAUUCUAGAAGCUCCAAAAGCUAGUGAGGUCAUGUAUGAUAUAACUUCGCAUGUAAAAAAAUCAGCUUUUUAUUCAAAAAAUUUAGAUUUUAUAGUGUUUAGCAAAUUAAUGAAAAUCAGCUUUAAAAUAAAUAAAUUACAUGUUAUUGCAAACGCUUUAAGAAACAAUCAGAAUGUUACUUUUAGAAGCUAUUGUCAAUAAAAACACUAAAAAAUAUUACAUUUUGUAUCUGCAUCAUUUUUAGAACUACUAUUACUAAACACAAACCAUUUUAAUUCAUAACUAAUUAUUUUCGUAGUACAACAACUACAUUUUUUCUACUUCUUAAAGUCGCAAUAACAAACUAACCUUGAUUUGAGUUCAAAUUUCCUUAUUUUCACUCAUCCGGGACUUAAAACGUGAAAUAUAAAUUACGUUAUAUGACAUGACACCGAUCCGUAAACGAGUCGCAAGAAACUAUCUGCUACACAUGUCUUUUUUUACAACAAACGGUCAUAAUUCGUAUGACAACUAAAGUUGUAUUGUGCUAAACUAACCCAUAUCUUAGCAAUUCAUGUCUUGUUAUCACACAAUAUAAGAAUGCAAAAAGUCAUAAAGAAACUAGAAAGUUUUGAACAAUUCUUCUACUCCCAUACUAAGCACUUUAGAGUUGUUUCAAAAUGUUUCGAUAGAGCGCGUCCUAGUGACCGACCCUAGCAGACUUGGAGGAGUAUGUUGUGGGAGGACAUAUAUUACAAUAUUGAAGUUCUUCCUAGAGAUGGAGCUCCAAAGACCCAUCUUCGUACCAGCAUCAAGGUUGUGUGAAUCAUCGACAUGAUUAGAAAAAUCCUCCUUAGUUGGAGUGCGGAGAUCGCUCUUCUUGCAGCGGUACACCGACGAAUCAACACAAUCAUGAGAUAUCUUUUGACGAAAGCCUGCAGCUUCUCACUUGGGAGGUUAGUAAACGAAAGCUUACUCUUAUGAGCCAUCCUCUUCUUCUCUCUUAUUCAUCCACUGAGAUUCUCUCUUCUUAAAUAACAAAAUUAUCAUUGAAAUAUCGGCGAUUUAAUCUUUACACAACAUGAGAAUAUCUAAAUAUUGCAAUAUUUGCGCGAAACUCACGAAAUCUUGUUAAUAAAUCAGCCCAUUUCUCUUUAUUGAGAAAUCGAAGAAGCUAUCCAAAAGGUUUUGCCAAGCCUACUCGUAUAUAUGGUCAUUAACUCGGCCCAAACUUAUGAAAUUAACACUAAAGUCUUGGCGUAGCGUAGGUAACAUGAUUCGAACCCAGGUUGUCACAUGUUAUAUCUCACAUUCUCAACCAAUCCUCUUAAGUCUUAAGAUACACUUAAUAGUCUAUUAUAUAAACUCUACAUAUAUUUUCACACUUUUAAACUUUCCUUUCGAAAUUUUAUUAAUAUCACUAUCAAAAUAUCUAUUUUUCUGACAGUCGAAAUUUUCUCGAAACGCGAUAUUUUAGUCCUUAAUUUGAUGCCUAAGCUACUUCGCUCCUCCAAACUGGGCCGGUGUUGGAUCAAACAAACAGAAACUUGAAAGGAGGAGAACGAUACAAGUCAUACAACUACGUUGAUUUUAAACAGAAACUUGAAAAGAGAACGAUACAACUACGUUGGUUUCUAACCCAAUGGAUGCCUAUGUUUGGGCCAAUAUUCCAUUUUCCUUUUUAAUAAUUUUUUUUCUUUCUAGCAGCUAGACAGCUAGUUAACCAAUUGUGAAGCUACACAACUAGGACUUGCAGCGGAAAACGACUACCACGCGUUGCAUGGAGAGGUUAGGUCCUGCAUGCAACUCCGCCGCCCGUAAAUCUCCUACUGACAGCUCUACCCCUCGAUUUGCAGAUACCGAUGUAUAACCCGAGGACAAAACGGUAAUCGUUGAUACUCCGAGCCGGACAUAAAACCAUCCAAGAACAAAGAAGAGAACCACCACCGGAAAAAUGGCCGGACCACCUCUACCUCCACCUCUUCUAACGUGUUUGGUGGGUGUUGCAGUCUUAAUCUGCGCACUAACCCUCUGUGUUGCCCUAGAUGUCAGCCCCCAAGACCCAAUCAUCCACCAAGUCACAGACCAUGAUACUAAUAAGCUCCUUGGAACCGAAAAAGAGUUCAAGAUUUUCAUGGAGAAGUAUGGGAAGAAGUACCCUACUAUGAAGGAGUACAUGCACCGCCUCGGUGUUUUUGCCAAGAACAUGAUCAGAGCCGCCGAGCACCAAGCUCUGGAUCCGACGGCGGUUCACGGCGUCACGCCGUUCUCGGAUCUGGAGGAGGAGGAGUUCAAGAGGAUGUACACCGGCGUAAGAGGUGCGCCCGGCUUAACCAACGGCGGAGGCGGUGCGGGAAGCACGGUUGAGCUUCUGGAUGUUAGCGGGUUGCCUGAGAGUUUUGAUUGGAGAGAAAAAGGAGCUGUUACUGAGGUCAAGAUGCAGGUAGUUAAUGUUACAGUUUCUAAUUUUCGUUUUUUUAUUAUUGUUUUUUUAGGUUGGUACUACACAAUAUAUGUGAUUAACAGUUUCGGACCGUACUUAAAUCCUAGCUUAUUGCAAAUCAAGUUAUGGCAAAUACGAUAUAGAAUUCUCGUAGCUGGUUGUAAAUUACUAAAUUGUGUAAUCUGAAGUCGAUCAGCUGAUCAGGUGCUGCUGGUUCUUUUGUUUAAUUGAUUGUAUAACUAGCUUGUGUUUGAGAGUUUGAAGUUUUGUACAGAAAGAUUUGUCUAAUGGAGCUAGGGUGUUUGUGGAACACGGAAUUUUUCUUCAGGCAAGGCGUUGUAUUGUGAUACUUAAAGCCUCUAAAUCUCUUGUUAUGGAUGCAGGGUGGCUGUGGGUCAUGCUGGGCCUUUAGCACAACAGGAGCUAUUGAAGGAGCCAAUUUCAUUGCCACUGGGAAGCUUGUUAGUCUCAGUGAACAGCAGCUUGUUGACUGUGAUCACCAGGUAAUUAAGCCUAGCCUCUCUGGAAUAUAUUGAAGUACUCAUUUAACUUUAGGGCGAUAAAAAUUUAAUUGAUUGAGCAUAUAUAUAAUAUUUGGCAUGCCUACUUAAUUAGUUUCGUUUAAUGUUUGUGGCAACUAUAAUCAAGUGUGAUGCAAAAGAGAAAGAUGCAUGUGAUCGUGGUUGUGGUGGCGGACUUAUGACAAAUGCCUACAAGUAUCUAAUGGAAAGCAGGAGGGGUUGCAAAGACGAGGUUUCAUACCCUAUACGGGGGAAAAAAGGGGCGAAAUGCAAAUUUAAUCCCUGAAAAAAGUAGCCGUGAGAGUAACCAAUUUCACCACUAUUCCCCUUGAUGAGAAUCAGAUUGCAGCGAACUUGGUCCACAAUGGUCCUCUUGCCAGUGAGUACUAAACCUGAUAAUAUGCUUAAAAAUAGCUAGGCUUUUUAUGUAUCUAUGUGUGCGUACAUAGAACUGCCUUAAGUGUCUUAUUUUCUGAAUAUGAUGUGCACUGUUUAGCAUAUUUAGAUCUGAGUGUAGAUACACCCCACUGAUACAGAAUCUUAAUUGAUGUAUGUAUGCGCAGUUGGCUUGAAUGCUAUGUUCAUGCAAACCUACAUUGGCGGUGUGUCAUGCCCUCUUGUUUGUUUCAAGAAAUGGGUGAACCACGGUGUUUUACUUGUUGGAUAUGGUGAGAGUGGCUUCUCGAUUCUCAGGCUCAGCAACAAGCCGUAUUGGAUCAUCAAGAAUUCAUGGAGCGCAAAAUGGGGAGAACAUGGUUAUUACCGACUUUGCCGAGGCCAUGGCAUGUGUGGGAUGAAUACUAUGGUGUCUGCAGUUGUGACCAGUACUCGGGCAUCCUAGCUGCAUCUCCCGAGAUUAGCUAGUAUACAAUUAUACACUAUAAUAUAUAUAUGCACCUCUCCCUUGUUUUUUCUUAAUCCGAAUUUGAUGUUCCUAUAAUCAUAUUUCAAGAAUAUUAUUGUUAAUAUGCCGAAGUGGAAAGUCUUGUUUACGUCAAAACCAAUUCGAACCAUAUUAUGUUAGCUUUAAAUGCUAGAUUGUCAGACUUCAAAUUUAAGUCGGGAAAAUUUUACAAUGUGUUAAUGUAUGUCAUGUAUUAAUUUUAUCCUAAAAUUGUAAAAUGAGUCUCUAAAAUAGUAAUAUUAGUACUCGAAGUUGUAAUAUAUAUGAGUAGUUGUAAAUUUUAUAGUUACAACAUUAGUCAUCAUGUGUCCUUAAUGUGUCUUUAAAGUAAAUUUUAUAGUUACAACAUUAGUUAUCAUGUGUACUUAAAGUGAUAAAUUGCGUGCUUAAAGUCGUAAUUGAAUCCUUAAAGUGAUUAAAAAAAGUUUUUAUAUCUUUGAGGAUUUGUAUUACAACUUUGAGGACUCAAUUACCAUUUUAAGGACACAUGAGGAUUAAUGUUGUAACUAAUUUUUUUUACAACUUUAAAGACUUAUAUUACAACUUUGAGGACUAGUUAAUAUUACUCCCGUAAAGACUCGAUCAUUUUAUAACUUGAGGACAAAGUUGAUGCAUCACAUGCAUUAACACACCAAAGUUGAUUCUCCACAAGCUUGUUGAAGAACUUGGUAGAAGUUUUGAUUUGUUGAAAGGCUUGAAGACGAGGGUUGAUCAAGGGCCGUAGAGGGUUGACGUUGAUCGAGUUUGGGCCACGAGCAGUUCCAUAUGGUGGUUGCUCUUCGUCUUGUAGUUGGUGAAGAUGUCUGCUAUUUAGCAAUUUGGGACUCUUUGGGAUUUGGCAACUUCUAAGCUUGAGAUUGAUGAAGAAUCGGCUAUUUGGCAACUUGAUGAUUCUUCAACGGUUUUGGGAGAAUUCUGAGUUCUCGGGAGUAAUUUUUUUCUCUUGUCCGGAAGUCCUUAUCUUGAUAUGAGAGGGGGUAUUUAUGGUGUCGAUGCUCCUCCGUAAAUAGAAUGCAUUAAAGUCACAACUUUAAUUGUAUUUCCUUAAUGAUAUAAUUAAAUCAAUCACUUUUGAUUGAUUGAUUCAAUUAUUCAAUUUACUAUAAUUAAAUCAAUCAAUCUUAAUUGAUCGAUUUAAUUAUGACCGAUAAGGUAUUUCACCAAUUUGAUUAAAUUCCGACUUCCUUUUCGAUAAUCGAUUUGAUUUGAUUGAUGUUUGAUUAUCGAUUGACAUUUAAUAUUUGAUUUUAGUCGGGAUUGAUGAUUUUGUUGUCGACCGACCAUUAUCAAGCCGCCAUGUGUUAUUUCCGAAGACUUUUCAACUUUGCUGACUCACGAGCCACGUAUGUAAUUUGUCAGGCCCAUGGGUUGUAUGAAUAAUUUAAUAAUUAUUAUUCUCAUUAAAUUUUAUGCGUCUACAAAUACCCCCACUUUAAGGUGUGUUGUAGUCAUGUUGUUGUCACGUGUCAGAGGUGCGACUUGAAGUUAUUUUUGAUGACACUUGUGGCGUGUUUUGCCAUCCACUCGUUUUUACGUCUGAAAUAUUGGUCCGUACCAUGAUGACAUUUUUGUUGCCUUUGAAAUUUGUAUUUUGAACGCUUGAGAAUCAUGCAUUGCGACCUUUCCAUAUGUUUAGAAUACAUGAGCAAUUUGCAUGCUUAGUGGAUAUGAUCUUCAUUUGAACAACUUCCAUACGUGGCUUUAAAUUUACCCGUCUCGCAACUAUUUUCAAUUGGUAGGAUUUGAAUGAGAGAUGAAAGCUUUUCUUUUCUUUUCUUAUCGAUUGAUGCGUGGCUGACAUUUCCUUCAUUGGUAUAAAUAAUUACCACCUUCUAAAUGAGUUUGGUCUUCUACAAGUAAGAAAUCGUGUAAUGGCUUGAUGACUUCUUGACCAAAUAGAAAAGUGAACGCAUGAUGACAUUAUAAAAUUGUACUGUAGGGUUUUGCCCUAAUCACUGUAUUCUCUUCCGUAGCUAGCCGCCCGCCCGUACUUCUUGUAAUUCUUUCUUCCUUCUUCUUUUUCUUUUUCUUUUUAUUUUUUUAUUUUACUGUAGGCCUCAGUCGUGAGUGAAGUUUGGUACGAAAAUAGGUCCAACCUUGUACCGCGAACUUGACAACGAAAUUGUGGAGGCAGGAUCAAUGCGAUGGUGCCAUGCAAUUGCGUUGUCGUAAUCCUCUCUAUUGUUUGAUUAUUGAUUUUACUAUCGCAUGCCUCCAUGCUUACUGACCCAUCCUUAUGCAUAGUGUAGUCGAUAUAUUUUUUUUCAGUUGCGGCUGAAGGGUCAUCUUUUCGGCAAGCACAGUUGAAGAAAACCCACGAGGUACGCACAGUUGAAGAAAACCUUCGAGAGACCAGAGCCUUGAGGUACUACUUUUGUUUUAGUUGAUUUUCUUAAUCCUUUGGCUUGUCCAUAUGCUUUCCGGAAGGAAACAAAGAUUGUCAAGAGUGACAACCCUCGUUUUUCAUGGUGGGUGAGCUUACUCUUUAAUCAACUUUGAUUGUCAUCUCAUUAUGCAAAGCGGCAAUUUUUUUUCUUCGCCAAGUUCGGCAGCAGCAUGGUACUAACUCUUUUUUCUAUUUUUCUUUUCAGAAUUUUGAUGGCAAAUUGAAGAACGCGAACACCUAACCGCUUGGUUUCUUUUACGUCUUGGACGUGAGAUAAACCGUUGAAAGUGUUUAGGCUUUACGUACCCUGACAGUAAUUGAAGAACAAGAACACCUAACCGCUUGAUUUAUUCCACGUUUAAGAUGUGGGAUAAAUUGCUUAAAGUGUUUAGGUUUUGCGUAGACGUAUACUAUUCCGCAUGGUGUUCUCCAAGAGUUUCAAGAAGGACACAAACAUCAUCUUUGAAGAUAUCGAGGAUAUUGAAAGUGAUGGCACCACCUCUCAUCUAAGCUCGCUCAUCUCUAACAACUUCUCGCUCAUCCUUGAUUUAACUAAUAACUUUGAGAUCAUGGGUUCAAACCUCACAGACAUAUGUAAGGUGCGUGAGUUAUUUAAUAAAAGUUUUUUUUUUUUAAAGAGCUCGCUCAUCAUGAUUUCACCUCUGUGAGCUUCGAGAAAUUUUUAAAUGCUACGGGAGGACCAUGUGGCAGUCUAACGUGGUCCUACGAUCCAAUCAAAUUUAGACAUGUGGAUUUUUUACAACUAAAAUAUAAACAAAUAUUUUCUAUUUUUUGUGAAAUGACAUUCAUGGGUAUUUAGCAAGUUCAAAUUAGGGUCUAGGGUAUAGGGUUUAAAGUUUAGGGUUAGAGUUUAGGGUAUAGGGUUUAGGGUUUAGGGUUUAGGGUUUGGGGUUUAGGGUUUAGGGCUUAGGGUUUAGUAUUAAAAAAACAACAAAAAAUCUAAAAUGGUCUUUGACAAAAUAGCUGAAAUAAUUUUUCGUAAAGAAAAUCUACAUGUCUAAAUUUGAUUGGAAAGAAGGCCCACGUCAGACUGCCACGUGGUCCUCCCGUAGCACUGAAAAAUUUCUCAUGAGCUUCAUUGACGUUUCUUCAACGUGGUGGUUGAUUCAAUUAUUUAAUUUACCAUAAUUAAAUUAAUAAUUAAAUUCAGUUUAUCUCUUUAAACUUUAAGUCGAAAAUUAGUUUGAUCCCUGAUUUUUUUUUUUUAUUUCACGUCAGUCUAUAUACUUUCACAAUUACAUCACUGUAGUCUAAAAUUUGAAUUUGGCGCUGAACAUGACUCUGUUGAUGUAGACCCGACAACAUGGCCCCAUUUUUAAGAUAUUAAAUUUUAAUUUGAACAUAAUGUCCAAACUACCCUUAUCUUCUUUUUUAGGAGAACAAAAAAUUAAUGUUGGGUGGGCUGGGUUUGAAGCCUAGACCUUAUCUUUUUUUUUUUUAAUCACGUCUGACUCUGCUGAUGUAGACCCGACAGCAUGGCCUCACUUUUAAGAUAUUAAAUUUUAAUUUGAACAUAAUGUCCAAACUACCCUUAUCUUCUUUUUUUAGGAGAACAAAAAAUUAAUGUUGGGUGGGCAGAGUUCGAAGCCUAGAGCUUGCUGUCAAAUACUAUGCUCCAAACCACUGGAGUAACUAUUGCUCAUAUACCUUUUAGUACAUCUAUAUUUAUUAGUACGAAAAAAUGAAAGGAAAAUAAUAAAUAAUAAAACUAUUUGUGAUUGUGUUCCUACCAUUCACGCCCAGACCUUUACUCCAUGCCUUCACUGAAGGUCAUAAUCCCAGAAUUUUUUUUUCUUUCAGUUUGUUUAUCCUCCUCUUCUUUUUCUUCUUUUUCCUUCAAAUCAAACUAUCAAAGAAAUCACGCUGCAAAUUCCGACCGGGAGGAUGAAGGGUGAGACGGCUUCUUCGUCGUCGGGGAAGCUAAGGAGCUUAAGGAUUGUUUCUGACGAUUCUUGAGCUUGGCAGAAGAGGGGUUUGAUAGGAAAUUCGGCAUCGAUGCGAUGGCGGAACUUCUCUGCUUUUGAGGAGCUUUGUGGCUGGAUUGGUGGGGUGGGGGGGGGGGGGGGGGGGGGAUUUGGGGGUUUGGGGUUUUCAAUGAAUUGGCUUGGUGGUCGACGGCGAUUCGGAGGUUGAAAUUGAUGGGGUGGCAUCCUCGAGGCUGCGUUCGAGGCCGGGAUCAGAGGGGUGAGGCGGAGGGACUAGGUCGUGGUCGCCUAAAGUUUAUUUUAUUUUAUUUUUUUUCCCUAGUCUCUUUAUUUCAAAAUGUCUGUUUUGUCCUUCUUAUGGGUCAUCCUGUCUGGUCCACAUCAGCAGAUGAUGUCAUGUUCGGAGUCAAAUUCAAAAUUUUAGACCACAUUGAUAUAAUUGUGAAAGUACAAGAACUGACGUGAUAAAAAAAAAUCAAGACCAAACUGAUUUUCGAACAAAAAAUUUGAGGGAGUAAACUGAAUUUAAUCCUUAAAUCAAUCAGUCUUAAUUAAUCGAUUUAAUUAUGACCGAUAAAGUAUUUCACUAAUUUGAUUAAAUUCCGACUUCAUUUUUAAUAAUCGAUUUGAUUUGAUUGAUGUCUGAUUAUCGAUUAAUGUUUAAUAUUUGAUUUUAAUUAGGAUUGAUGAUUUUGUUGUCGACCGACCAUUCACACGCCGCCACGUGACAUUUUCGAAGACUUUUCAACUUUACUGACUCACGAGCCACGUAUGCAAUUUGUCAGACCCCUGAGUUGUAUGAAUAAUUUCCGAAGACUUUUCGAUAAUCGAUUUGAUUUGAUUGAUAUCUGAUUAUUGAUUGACAUUUAAUAUUUGAUUUUAGUCGGGAUUGAUGAUUUUAUUGUCGACCGACCAUUCACACGCCGUCACGUGUCAUUUCCGAAAACUUUUCAACUUUGCUGACUCACGAGCCACAUAUGCAAUUUUUCGGGCCCCUGGGUUGUAUGAAUAAUUUAAUUGCUUCAGUUCUAUAUAUACCGCGUCCCACAUGUUUCAUCAAGUGUCAGAUAAUACAGAACCUACUUCGCCAAAAUGAAGAAAAUUGAGGUCAGUAUAAAUUCCAAACACACCAUCAAACCAUCAUCUUCCUCUACACCACUACAGCCUUACAAGCUUACCCUCCUGGACCAGCUCACUCCUCCAACGUAUGUCCCUAUGGUAUUCUUCUACCCCAUUACUGACCAUGUCUUCAAUCUUCCUCAAACCCUAGCAGACUUAAGACAAGCCCUUUCCGAGACUCUCACUUUGUACUAUCCACUCUCUGGAAGGGUCAAAAACAACCUAUACAUCGAUGAUUUUGAAGAGGGUAUCCCAUACCUUGAGGCUCGAGUGAAUUGUGACAUGACUGAUUUUCUAAGGCUUCGGAAAAUCGAGUGCCUAAAUGAGUUUGUUCCAAUAAAAACAUUUAGUAUGGAAGCAAUAUCUGAUGAGCGUUACCCCUUGCUUGGAGUUCAAGUCAACAUUUUGGACUCUGGAAUAGCAAUCGGUGUCUUCAUCUCUCACAAGCUCAUCGAUGGAAGAACGGCAUACUGUUUUCUCAAGUCCUGGGGUGCUGUUUUUCGAGGGUGUCGUGAAGAUGUCAUACAUCCUAGUCUCUCUGAAGCAGCAUUGCUUUUCCCACCGAGAGAUGACUUGCCUGAAAAGUAUGCCGGUCAGAUGGAAGGGUUAUGGUUUGCCGGAAAGAAUGUUGCUACAAGGAGAUUUGUAUUUGGUGCGAAAGUCAUAUCUUCAAUUCAAGAUGAAGCGAAGAGCGAGUCCGUGCCCAAGCCAUCACGAGUUCAGGCCGUCACUGGUUUUCUCUGGAAACAUCUAAUCGCUGCUUCUCGGGCACUAACAUCAGGUAAAAUCAGUUUAUCAACAAGCCAAAUAAUAAAGCCUAAUGUAUUUGGGGUACUUAUUUAUAUAUUUUUAUUACGUAUAUCUAGUGUACUGUGUACAUAGCUCAAAGAAUGAGAAAAUAUAUGAACUUGCAGGUACUACUUCAACAAAACUUUCUAUAGCAGCCCAGGCAGUGAACAUAAGAUCACGGAUGAACAUGGAGACGGUGUUGGAUAAUGCCACUGGAAACUUGAUGUGGUGGGCACCGGCCAUACUACAGCCAAGUCAUACAACACCAGAGAUUAGUGAUCUUAAGCUGUGUGACUUGGUUAACUUGCUCAAUGGAUCUGUCAAACAAUGUAACGGUGAUUACUUUGAGACUUUCAAGGGUAAAGAGGGAUAUGGAAGAAUGUGUGAGUAUCUAGAUUUUCAGAGGACUAUGAGUUCUAUGGAACCAGCACCAGAGAUUUAUUUAUUCUCGAGCUGGACUAAUUUUUUCAAUGCACUUGAUUUUGGAUGGGGGAGGACAUCAUGGAUUGGAGUUACGGGAAAAAUUGAAUCUGCAUUUUGCAAUUCCACAAUGUUGGUUCCAACACAAUGCGAUAAUGGAAUUGAAGCAUGGGUGAAUCUAGAAGAAGAGAAAAUGGCUAUGCUAGAACAAGAUCCCCAGUUUCUAGCGGUAGCAUCUCCAAACCCCCCAAUUUCAAGGUGUUGAUUAAAAAAGAUUAUGUGGCUCGUGCAAUGUUUCGAUUUUGUAGUGAAUAAGGUUUAAAUUAGUUCACCAGCCAAUCAAUAAGAUGCAAGUAUGAUAGACUCUGUCUACGUAUGUUAUCCGAAUGUGUUUUCGAUAUGCUUGUAACCAAUAUAGCUCUUGUUUGUAAUAAUGCUCUGUUAAGCUUCUAUCUAUAAAGUUAUUUCUCUUGAUUAAAGAAAAAACUAUACAAGUUUUGUUAAGCUUUAUUCUAUUUUUAAGAUAGGAUGUAUGUAGUACCUAUAAAGAUGGUUCACCUAUUAUUAUUUUCAAAUACAUGAUUAUCCGGUACAAUUACGUAGAAUAUUUCUAUAGCUAAAAAAAUGUAAUUUUGAUCCGUGACAACAUGAUUAAAAAAUUACAUAUUCUGAUACAUUUGUUCUCUAACGACAAGCAUGGCCAUAAUGCCUCACCUGAUCAUCUAUGUGAUGGGGUAGUGUCCUUUCUUUUUAAGAGAAGGUAGGCACCUAAUGUGAAGGCCUCUACGAGAGACUAAUAUUGUCUGAUCUUCUUUUGUUCAUCAAAUUAAAGAAACGAAAAUGGCCACAAUGCCUCACUAUUGAUAGAAGAUAGAACCAUACAAUAAUUUGGAACAUAUGCAUGGAGACAAGGAAAUAUAACACAAUAAAACCAUUAUAAUUUCACUUUAUGUGGGAAACUUGGCCAAAACCGAAUCACAUCCACGUUGGCAACAAAAAGUGACUGGAAAAAAAGAGCCCCCAAAAAGCUAAAACACUAUAAAAACCAGAAAACUUGAAUAAGCGAAAAACCAAAAGUAUGACAUUUACACACACACUCUAUCUCUCUCUCAAAGUCUGAAAACUUGCGCAAUAAGGUACCUAGCUCUCUGGUCUUUUCUUUCUAAUGCAUAUAAGUCCCUGUAAAUUUUAUGGCUUUUGGAAUGAUGAUUUUAUGCUUGUGGAUCUCAGAUGGGUUUGUUUUGUUUUGGGAUUUUUAUAAAUGAAUCCAUUGAAAAUGUUGAAAGCUUAUGCCUUUGUUCCUUGGUUCACUGUUCUGGUUUUGUAAAUUGUGUGUACGAGAGUUGAAAUGUUGGUUUUGGUAAAGAGAAAUGUUCUAUAACCAUGUAAGUUAUCUUCUAAAGUUGUUCGAGUACUGCAUAGGAAAUAACGACCUAAACUGCUAGAUGCUCUGAGAAACUUAAUUAUCCGAUUCGUUGUGAUAAAUUAAUAGAACCAUCAAUAGCCGUGAUAGUCCCUUAAUAUUUGGUGGCUAAUUAGCAAUGCAUUCAUGGUAGUUGCAUGUGCUUAUUUUGUGCAGUAUUCUAAUUCUAUCACUUGCAAAAUCGUUGUGGAAGGUCAAGAGGAGAAAACUGAAAAUGGGGCAGCAUGCAUCUCAUUUUAUUUUUUUAUGCAAUAGAGCCCUAUAUAUAAAAUAAAUAAUGUAUCUAUAACCUUCUCUAAUUAAUUUACUUAGUAAUUGACGCAAUUUGGCCGAACUGUUUCUAAACACACUAAGCUUCAGUUCUAUAUAUACCACGUACCACAUGUAUGAAUUCAUCAAGUGUCUGAUAAUACUAAACCUACUUCGACAAAAUGGAGAAAAUUGAGGUCAGUAUAAUUUCCAAACACACCAUCAAACCAUCAGCUUCCACUCCACGACUUCAGCCUUACAAGCUUACCCUCCUGGACCAGCUCACUCCUGCAAUGUAUGUCCCCAUGGUAUUCUUCUACCCCAUUACUGAUCCUGUCUUCAAUCUUCCUCAAACCCUAGCUGACUUAAGACAAGCCCUUUCCGAGACUCUCACUUUGUACUAUCCACUCUCUGGAAGGGUAAAAAACAACCUAUACAUCGAUGAUUUUGAAGAGGGUGUCCCAUACCUUGAGGCUCGAGUGAAUUGUGACAUAACUGAUUUCCUAAUGCUUCGGAAAAUCGAGUGCCUAAAUGAGUUUGUUCCAAUAAAAACAUUUAGUAUGGAAGCAAUAUCUGAUGAGCGUUACCCUUUGCUUGGAGUUCAAGUCAACAUUUUCGACUCUGGAAUAGCAAUCGGUGUCUCCGGCUCUCACAAGCUCAUUGAUGGAAGAACGGCAGACUGUUUUCUCAAGUCCUGGGGUGCUGUUUUUCGAGGGUGUCGUGAAGAUAUCAUACAUCCUUGUCUCUCUGAAGCAGCAUUGCUUUUCCCACCGAGAGAUGACCUGCCUGAAAAGUAUAUAGCUUUGAUGGAAGGGUUACGGUUUGCCGGAAAAAAAGUUUCUACGAGGAGAUUCGUAUUUGAUGCGAAAACCAUAUCUGCAAUUCAAGAUGAAGCGAAGAGCGAGUCCGUGCCCAAGCCAUCACGAGUUCAGGCCGUCACUGGUUUUCUCUGGAAACAUCUAAUCGUUGCUUCUCGGGCACUAACAUCAGGUAAAAUUAGUUUAUCAACAAGCCAAAUAAUAAAGCCUAAUGUAUUUGGGGUACUUAUUUAUAUAUUUUUAUUACGUAUAGCUAGUGUACUGUGUACAUAGCUCAAAGAAUGAGAAAAUAUAUGAACUUGCAGGUACUACUUCAACAAAACUUUCUAUAGCAGCCCAGGCAGUGAACAUAAGAUCACGGAUGAACAUGGAGACGGUGUUGGAUAAUGCCACUGGAAACUUGAUGUGGUGGGCACCGGCCAUACUAGAGCUAAGUCAUACAACACCAGAGAUUAGUGAUCUUAAGCUGUGUGACUUGGUUAACUUGCUCAAUGGAUCUGUCAAACAAUGUAACGAUGAUUACUUUGAGACUUUCAAGGGUAAAGAGGGAUAUGAAAGCAUGUGUGAGUAUCUAGAUUUUCAGAGGAUUAUGAGUUCUAUAGAACCAACACCAGAGAUUUAUACAUUCUCGAGCUGGACCAGUUUUUUCAACCAACUUGAUUUUGGAUGGGGGAGGUCAUCUUGGAUUGGAGUUACAGGAAAAAUUGAAUCUGCAUAUUGCAAUUCCACAGUGUUGGUUCCAACACAAUGCGAUACUGGAAUUGAAGCGUGGGUAAGUCUAGAAGAAGAGAAAAUGGCUACGCUAAAACAAGAUCCCCAGUUUCUAGCGGCAGCAUCUCCAAACCCCCCAGUUUCAAGGUGUUGAUUAAAAAAGAUUAUGUGGCUCGUGCAAUGUUUCUAUUUUGCAGUGAAUAAGGUUUAAAUUAGUUCACCCGUCGAUCAAUAAGAUGCAAGUAUGAUAGAUAUGUUAUUCGAAUGUGUUUCGAUAUGGUUGUAACCAAUUAAUAUAGCUCUUGUUUGUAACAAUGCUCUAUUAAGCUUCUAUCUAUAAAGUUAUUUCUCUAUUAAAAAAAAAACUAUGGAAGUGUUACCAAGCUUUGUUCUGUUUCAAAGGUAAGAUGCAUAUACUACCCGAAAAUAAUGUUCACCUAUCAUAAUUCUUCCACAUGAAAACCCGGUAAGAAUCACAUAAAAUAUUUCUAAUACUUUAGAAUCUAAUUUGGGUUUGUGACAACAUAAUUGAAGAGGUACAUAUUCUGAUACAUUCGUUAUUUAACGACAAGCAUGUACAUAAUACCUAACCUAGGAGGAGGGUGUACGUAGUGUUCUCUCUCCUUAAGAAGGCCUGCCUUUCGCGAAGGCCUCUUUCAAAGGACUGAUAUAAUAUAAUCUUCUUCUUUUUUUAAUCAAAAGAAACGAAAAUGGCUUCAUUGUUCAUAAUUUGGAAUAUAUGGUGGAUUGUACGGUGUUGUUUUGAGGGAGCUUCUCUCUCGGGUCAAGGGUUUCCAAUGGAUUUGUGCAAUGAGAUUUGAUUGGCAACAGUUAUUCGGGCAUCAACGCUCCAAUUUAGCACUCCUCAGUCCUCACUACCUCAUUGUUGUUGACGAUGGCGAUGACGACAUUAGCGAGCAUGGGUGAUGUGUGUGGCAUAUUUGUUUGUAUUGUUGCAUUAUUGCUUUCGGAUGUAAGGGCUUCGCCCUAUAGAUUAGCGAGCAAUUGGUCUCCUCUCAUUCUUUCUACCUUGAUCGAGUUGGAGAUCCAUGCACUUUAUUUGUAGUACUUUUUUUGGCCUCGCGUUUGCAAGCUUUGAAAUUCCCGUGAUUAAGGAAUUAUUCAUUUUUUACAAAAAAAAAGAAGAAGAUUUUUUCCUGAAAAAUAACACAACAACCAUCAUAAUUUCACUUUAUGUGGGAAAUUUAGCCAAAUCCGAAUCACAUCCACGUCGGCAACAGAGAGUGACUUGAAAGAAGUGCACCCAGAAAGCUAAAAAACCAUAAAAACUAGAAAACUUGAAUAAGGAAAAACUAAAGUAUGACAUUCCAAUCUAUUGUUUUAUGGUUUUUGAAGGAUUCAAAUUUGUCAACCACUUUUUACUUGACCACCUUAAUGACCACUAUCUAGAUUGGUGAUACGUGUCUUUUCAAAUUAUUUUACUUUAUUGUUUUAUUGUUGAUAAAAAAAAUAAACAUGUGUCACCAAUCUAAAUAGUGGUCAUUGAGAUGAUCAAGUAAAAGUGGUUGACAAAUUUGAAUCCAUUUCUUAUUGCGGUUUUGUUCUGCCAAAUCCAAAUCCCAUGACCCAAUCAUUUACACUCCCUCUCAAUCUCUGCAAAACUGACUGCUUCCCUUGAAAACGUGCGCAAUAAGGUACCUAGCUCUCUGCCCUUUUCCUUGUAAUGCAUUCAAGUCCCUGUAAAUUUUGUGGUUUUUGGUAAUGAUUUUAUGCUUGUGGAUCUCAAAUGGGUUUGGGUUUGUUUUGUUUUGGGAUUUUUAUAAAUGAAUGCAUUGGAAAUGUUAAAGCUUAUGCGUUUGUUCCAUGAUUCAGUGUUCUGCAAUUUGUGCCUUCUCUUCCGGAUCUGAUGUACGUGAUGUUCUAGCUAGUUGUCUUUUGGAUUGAAAAGAUAUUAUCUUUUGAUUGUUUUUGAUAGAACAUCAACAUCAAUCAUCAAUGAGAUGAAUCUGAAGUAGGUUAUUAGUUUGGAGAUAUGUUAAUGGUUAAUGAAUCAAGCUGAAGUUGUUCUGGUUAUUGGAGCAAUAGGUUCCAUACUGAAGCAUCUAAUUUUGAAUUUGCAAAGAGUGGUUGACGAGUUAUCCUUGGGAUUGGCGGGUGACAUUGAAAAAGUCUUGGUUUUGUGUAUAAGAGUUGAAAUGUGAUUUCUUUACUGUUACCAUGAUGUGGGUUCUACUAAAAGACUCGUUCUUGAAUCUGGGGUCAUGUCCUGUGAUGACUCAAUUCUUGCAAAACACAACUGAGAUGUGUCAAAAUGGGUUCGGGAGCGUCUUUAUAUAUCGAAGUAUCAUGAGUUUCGAUACUAAGUGAGGGUGCUGGAUAGAAUUGAGUUUGGAGGUUCAAUGCUUCAAAAACAAAGAAGCUAGAGGGAACGUAAUUCUUGAUGAUUCAAGACGGAUCAAUGACCUUGUAAUUAAGUUGCUUAUGUGCAAUUGUUGAGCUUAUGGUGUUUCCAGUUUGGAUACGGAUAGCUAUUUCUGUUUUCAGUAUAACCACCAUGUGUUGCAUCCUCUUACUCUUCAUCUUCAUUUACCUAUCUUUGAUCUGAUGUUCCAUUGGCAGAGCUCCCUUAUGCUAAACUGUAAAACCUGCAUUCCAGGUGGUCAUUCUGUUAGAACUUUGGAAGGUCUCGGAAAGGAAACACUCGUCGACAAAUUUUGGGAGCAGUUGCAUAAAAGGAAUGGUCUCCCAACUCGGAGAUAAUGGAGACGCGUACUGGAAAUUCCCGUCCCAAUAAAAAGCAAUCGUCGGAGAAGUCUAAAUCUGCCACUGAAGAGAAAAGGCCUGCAGAAAAGAAGCAAACACUUCUGUGUUUGUCAACUAUGGUAAGUUCAUUAGAUAGUAAGUACUGAGUUUUCUAACAUCGGUGUAACACCAUGCAACUAACUCAGUACUGUAGAAUAGACAUCUAUGUUAGUCUCUUUAGAUAAUAUGCACACUUUAACUUUUCAAAUGACGUCCUGCAUUAGUUAGUCAACUGUUCAAAAUCUCGUAGGUUACAAUUUUCCCAUCUCCAAAACCAAGUGUCCAUAAUCUUUUUCCCUCUUUGUUCACUAAACUAGUAAACUCCUCGUUUAGAUUAAUGUUCUAAAUCUUUUAGUUUUUGUUCCAUCUUGACAUAACUUGUGGCUCAUUACCUACGUUGCAUGGAAUCGGAAGCGGAAACGUGGAAGCGAAGCGUUUGGAAGCGCGGAAGCGAUUUUUUUGAAAAUAAUUUGGAAGCGAAAGCGUUUUAGAAAUGUGAGAAUCAAAAUAAUAUAUACAAAUAACAAAUAUAUAUCACCUAAUUUUAAUUUCAUUCAUUUAUUUUAAUCGUUAAUUUUAAUAAGUUGUACAAAUUAGUUUGAUUGUUUAGCAGAUAACAACUCAUUCUUAAAAAAAAAAGAUAUCACUAAACCUUAUAAAAAUAAACUUCUUCACUAAAAAAAAGUCCACCAUGAAAUAUUGAAAGCACACGUCUCUCUAAUCUCUACACCUUUUAAUCUUCUUUCUUCACCUCUCUAUGCUCUCUCACCCUCCAGGUUGCCGUCAUCUUCUUUAACUUCAUUCUCUCUCACUCCUCUCCCUCCCUCCAGUUUCAAAUCCUUUCUUAACAGGUCCUCAAGCAGAAGAUCUGAUUGAUUAUAGAUUUCGAAAGAGAUAGAGAGAAGAUUGAUGUGCCGCUGAAUCAGUUCUCGUGCAGUGGACCAUCGCGCUUCCAAAUCAAAAUCGUGAGCUUCCAUAUUGGAAGCAUGCGCUUCCGUCGUGCUUCCAAAACCCUCUUUUCCCGGAAUCACGAUUCCGGGCGCUUCCGAGCGCUUCCACGGCGUUUCCGCUUCGCUUCCGCUUCGGAAGCGGGCGAGUGGCCCGGCGCUUCCGUGCUUCCUAGCUCAUUACUGCCCUGUAAACCAACUACGGCCGAGUUGUACCAAAAGGAAAUUCGGCCUCUCAUCAAUGAGUAAAGGUUUUUUUUUUUUUUUUCUUCCUUUUGUGGGGGAAGAAGAAGUAUGCAAUAAUUUUGGAAGUAACAUAUCCCCUAUCACCAUUCCUUGCAACAAGCAAUUACUUCUGGCAUUUUGUGGUUGAUGUUGAUCAUUUUGUAACUUUUGUUCUUUCAUGAUAAUAAAGCUAAUUUCUCAUGUAGCUGCAAUUGCUUGGCAUGAGAGUAGAAGAAAGUGGAUAGGGGAUCAGCGGCUGCAAAGAAUGGCCAAGGAUCCAAUUAUAAGGUAUUUUUUCCUCACAAAGGUUCCUGGAUAGAAUGGGGUUAGCAAGUCAUGGUUAAAGAGUUGCACCUUAAAGUUUAAUAACAAAAGAAAAGUUGGAGAGCAUAACUGCCAUAACUUAUAUUCUUUGUAGGUACAAAUGAACUCAUUAACACUGGUGUGUCAGUUUUUAGGAAAUUACACUUAUAUUUGAGUAUCUGUCACUCUGUCCACUACUUGCACCCUGACUUGCUGAUCUGUAAAUCCUAGAUUUUUCAAAAUUGCUCCUUUAGUCCUUUUGUUUGGUGUGUGUCCAUAUUAGUAGCUUUGUCCAUUUAUGCUGUUAAAUUGUAGCUGCUAUAUGAAUGUCAGGAAGUUAAAUGUGAAAACUAUAUGCUGCAUAUUAUAGCACCAUUGUAAUGAUUGAUGAUAUUAGUGUCUUUGUCCAAUUAUUUUCUGUUCAAUUAUUGCUACUUCUUGAAGAUAAUGUGGAAAGUUUAUGUUUCAGCUGGUCAACAGCCUAUGAGGAUCUACUCUCAACCAAUGAGUGUUUUUCUGAGCCGAUCCCCUUAACUGUAAGUCGAUCAUAUAAUAGCACAUACCUGUCCAAUAAAUAUCUUCUGAUAAGUCAUAUAUCUCUAUUACUUGUGUUUAUUUGACAUUGGAAAUAUUUUCUAAAGUUUGAUGUUUUUAUAAAAUUGGUUUUAAGCAUGUUUUCAUACUGGAGCUCCACUUUAUGUUUUCAAAAGUCAUGGGUAGUUUUCUUGAGCAGCGAGGACGAAAACUCAUCCCUACAACAGUUUGUGGAUGCAUGUAUUGUGCACUGGGACAAGAUAAUGGCGAGGAGUUGGGUGUGCAUGUUUGUGAUCGGUAAUUUAUUUUCUAUGCUUACAUGUUUAUUUUUAGACUCAAGUUACAUGUUUAAAUUGUAUUCUGUUGGCCUUGUUAUAAUCUCAUCCGUGAUUCUAUUAAUGAAGCUUGUUAAUUACUGGCCAUUCCUUAUAUCAAGUUUUAUACGAACAUAAGAGUCUAAUCCUGAUAUGAUUUUGUCUUGUGAGACUCUCAUUGCAAUUUGUAUUCUUUUGAGUUCAUUAUUUCUUAACGUUUAUUGUGUUAGGUUUUAGACGAAUGACUUUACCUUAAGCAAAUUAAAUAUUUUUCUUUUACAUACACCUCAAAUAGUUUUACGCUUCCGUGGUGUUUGCUUAAAUGAUUUCUUAAAUAAACUGUCUUGCGUUUCUCUUGGUUUUUAUUUUAGAGACAUGCGGCACUGUGACGUGUCUAAACUAAGGAGGCGUAGUUUGGGGCGUUACAGAUUUAAUCUUUACACACUAUGAGAAUAUCAAAAUAUCACGAUAUUUGUGCAAAACUCACGAAAUCUUGUUAUUAAAUCAGCCGAAGUCAUCAUAUAUAGUCAUUAACUCGGGCCAAACUUAUAAAAUUAACACUAAAGUCUUGGCGCAGCUAACAUGAUUUGAACCCAGGUUGCCACAUGUUUGUAACAUCCUGAAAUUUCAAAUUUUUAUUUUUAAAAGGAAAGUUAUUUUUAUUUCGAUUUCUAUUAUUCUUUUAAAUUCUUUAUAGUUUUUGAAAAUUAUUCAAAUUUUGUUUUUGGAGCCCAUCGGAUUAAACUAGAGGCCGUGAUGAAUUUGUGGGAUUUUUCGGAACACCGUUUGGAUAUCGGAUAUAUUUUUAAUGAUUUUUAGAAGUUGGUAUUAUCUAAAAAUUUAAUUAAAAAUAGAAAAUCAAGGUCGGUCAAAUUUGGUCCGUCCAGAUUAUAUGGGUAUGGAUCAACUUGGACUUCAUUAUACCCAGUCCCAGACCGACUCCGUCUCCAGCCUCUAUCAGCGACGGAGACCUCCGGUCACUCCUCCGUUGUCCGGCCGUCUCCCGCCGCAAAACGACUGUCUACAGCUCUGUCUCGACGUCCCCGACCUCCCUGGGAUUCCAGCUUGAUGAGUGGAGCUCCGGAAAAGGAGGAGAGAAGGCGACUGUGUUUCCGAUCGGGUUUCCGAUUCCGGUGACGGCGGCGAGCGUGAAUGGUACUGGAAGCAUCCUCUCGUCCUCGUGGUCUUCCCUAUGUCCUCAGUUUCUUCAGAAGAGGUCGGGAGAGAGAGAUUCGAAGUGGAGAAGGAGAGGCUGGGUUCGCCGGCGAGUUUCCGAUUCCGGCCAAGUCGAGGUUUCUCACUGGUAUGAAUAGCUUCAUGUCGGUCUCGGGAACCUUUCCAUGUUGGUGGUUUUCGAAGAGAAGCUCGGAGGAGGGAGAAUCGAAGAGGAGAAGUUUCUGAAUUUUCCGGCGAGGGUUCGACGGAUUCCGGUGAAGCUUGAUGUCGACUCAGGUAUUAAAGUUGGUCUAUUCGAUGAGCUUUACAUGUUUCUAUAAUUGAAAUUGAGAUUGGUUGGGUGUUGGAGAAGUGGGAUUUUGGACAGGUUGUCGACCACCGUGUACGGCGGCGGCGGCGGUUGUUCUUGUAGUUUCUGGCUUUUGUUAAUACAUUGAUUGUGGAGGAGUGUUUUGAGAUGUAUUAGAAUUGCAGGAACAUGAGAAUUGUAUGAAGUUGGGUUUUGAGCAGUGUGGUGUGUGGCCACUGUUCACGGCGGCUAUGGUGGUGUUUUGAAAUCAGAAGACUUGUGUGAGGGAGAGGUUGAAGAUGUGUAUUAUGUUUGGUAUGAGUGUUCAUUCAAUUGGCUUUGGUAUUUGAGAGCAGGGUGCUACGAAUAUCUUGGUUUUGUGAUCAAAGUUGAAGUAAAGCAUAUAUGUUUGUAUGGUUGUGAGAUAUGGUGGUAACUGCAGCAAUGGAUAGUUGAUCAAGGUUCACAUGAUCUUGGAACAAAUGUCCAGUCGAUAACUUUAAGAUGUAAUUGGUAUUGCUAUGCUUGAACAAUUGUGUUUCGGUGGAUUGAAGAUUUGCCGGAAGGUGUGUAGUAAGAUGGGUGUCCAAAGUAAUUGAUGGAGACUGGUGUGUUCUCUUUUGAAUUAUUGUUAGAGAAAGAUGAUUAGAGGAGUUGGGUGUAAUGAACGUUAAGUUGGCUUUGCUGGGUUGUUGUGGAGUCUUAAGAGCAGUAUGGGUACGGGAACAGAAGAAUUGGAUUUUCAUUACUUUCAUAUGGAUUUGAUGUGUUGCUGGGGAGUAGGAAACAGUAAAGGAUUUAGGUUUGGUCAUGUCUGGGUUCGUUGAUAAGUUGUUAUGCCUACAAUUAAGACAUGAGAAGAUUGAUCAAGUUUGAGAUAGGCAAAUAUAAAGGAUUUAGUAGAAAAGAGGAAUUGGGUGUAGAGAGUAAAUUCGGUGCUUAGCUUGGUGCUUGGAGCAUGGUUGGGAUACGACUAAUUAUGGGUGGCGUGUGAUUUGGUAAUUGUCGGAAAAGGUGAGCGGAAUUGGAAAUAAAGAUUUUGAUCGUUUCUAAUUAAAGUGUUUGCCGACUUUAUUGGAACAAGGAUUUGAUGUGAGGGAGCAUGUUGCAAUCCGAGGAGCAGAAUGAUAAGGAUUUCAAAAUGCGUGCCGCGGUGUUAUUAAUUUUAGUAAGCGUCGGAGUCAAGGCUUGGAUUCCAGGUAGGGUCUCUCUCAGGGAACUUUUCUUUAAAUUGAUAAUUAGGUUAUUGUUGAAAUCGGUGCAUUGUGUGGCAUUGGUUGAUAUAACUCUUGGUUGUUAUCGAUUUUGUUAAAAGCAUGUGAUAUCGUUGAUUUAUAUGAAAUUAAUGUUAUUGCUUUCCGUAAAAGCAUGAGUUGAAUGUUAUGAUAUGAGUAUUGAUAUUCAAUUGACAUGCAUAAUGCAUUGUGAGGAAUUGUGAGAAGUGAGAUUGGUGAUUCUGGAGAUGAGAAAGAGAUUGAUAGAAUAGAUACAUUUUGUGUAGUUGAGUUUCCUCAUGGGUUGUCCAAGAUCCAGGGUAGUCCACACGUGCAUAAGUUCAGGGAAUGUAUGCCAUUUCGAUGGCGGACAUCGACAAAACAAUUUUAUCGGGUUUCGGGUUUGGAGACCAUGAGUAUAACAAGAUGAUUAACAAUAGAGGUACAAGCCAUAAGAUAUUACUGAUUAUUAGAUCAUAUAUUUGAGACAUUUGUGUCACCCCCGGUUGGUAAAAUACACGGUAUGGGACGUGUAGGCUCACAUAUCUUUGAUGUAUGGACUGAUAGCCAGUAAUUGAGGAAGACAUUCAUUAGCAUACAUGUAUCAAAUUGUCGUUAUUUAUUUAAAGUAUUAUUUGAUGUUUGAUAACUUGUUUGUGCGAUGUAGUUAAUUAUAACUUAAAAAGGUUUGGCUCUUUGGCCCUACUAAGCGUAAGCUCACCCCUAUAAACUUUUGUUCAGGUACGUUUGAGGACACGUUUUUCUAGAAGCGUAACUGUGAAGUUUAGCUGACGUGUACGAGAGUAGAAGAGUUACAGAAGAUUAGAAGUCAGAUAGAUCGUAAGGGCUUAUCUUUUUGUCUUUGUAAUUGUUUUUUGUUAUUGUAAACGUUUUAUUUUCUUUUAUUUCUGGAAAAGUAUUUGAAAUUGUUUUAUUUUCUUUUACUUUUCCCGCUCAUGUCUCGGGUACGGCGUCAGGUGCUUGGAAACCACCGACACCGGGUCCGGGGUUUGAUGUAUGGACUAGCCAGUAAUUGAGGAAGACAUUCAUUAGCAUACAUGUAUCAAAUUGUCGUUAUUUAUUUAAAGUAUUAUUUGAUGUUUGAUCACUUGUUUGUGCGAUGUAGUUAAGUAUAACCUAAAAAGGUUUGGCUCUACUGAGUGUAAGCUCAUCCCUAUAGAUUUUUGUUUAGGUACGUUUGAGGAUACGUAUUUCUAGAAGCGUAACUGUGAAGUUUAGCUGACGUGUACGAGAGUAAAAGAGUUACGGAAGAUUAGAAGUCAGAUAGAUUGUAAGGGCUCAUCUUUUUGUCUUUGUAAUUGUUUUUUGUUAUUGUAAACGUUUUAUUUUCUUUUAUUUCUGGAAAAGUAUUUGAAAUUGUUUUAUUUUCUUUUAUUUUUUCCGCUCACGUCUUGGGUACGGCAUCAGGUGCUUGGAAAUCACCGACACCGGAUCCGGGGUGUGACAAUGGUAUAUCUCACAUUCUCAACCAAUCCUCCUAAGGUGAUACUUGAUUACUACAUUGAACAUUUUAUUAUAAACUCUACAUAUAUUUUCAUACUUUUAAAAUUUCUUUUCGAAAUUUUAUUAAUAUUGAUAUUUUCUAAUAUUUUUAUCAAAAUAUCUAUUUUUCAGAUAGUCAAAAUUUUCUUGAAACGUGAUAUUUUUGUAAUAUAUCGAAAUUUCAAAUUUUUAUUUUUAAAAGAAAAAUUAUUUCCGAGCUAUUUUUAUUUCGAUUUCUAUUAUUUCUUUCAAUUCUUUGUAGCUUUCGAAAAUUAUUUCAAUUUUUAGUUUGUCAAAAUUUAUCUUUUGAGUCCAUAGGAUUAACGGAAGCGUUUUCGGACAUCGGAGCUAUUUUUAAUAAUUUUUAGAAGUUAAUAUCGUCUAAAAAAAAAAUAUUUUUAAACCCGCUUGAUCUGGACCGUUGGAUCAUUUAAACCGCAAGAUCUGGGCUGGGGGAGACUGGAUCAGAUCAGUUCAGACCCAGACUGGGUCAGCCUCGAUCCAAAUAGCAGCGACGGGUGACCGGACUGCCGCUUUGUCCUCCAGCGACGGCGUGGGGAAAUCAUGGCAGCUUCGGCUUCGUCUCGGUCGCCUGAUCCUAUCUGUGGUCUCGAUUUCGUCGAUGGAGCUUCGAUGAGAGAGAAUCGAAGAAGGGUAGCUUUUUCUGGGUUUGUCGACGAGUUUACUAUUUCAGCCACGGCGGCGAGCAUGAUCGGUCUUGGUAGCUUCACCUCGACCUGUUGAACAUUUCUUUGAAGAGAAGGUCGGAGGAGGGAGAAUCGAAGAGAAGAAGUUUUUAGGUUUUAGGCAGUGUUCUUGGUGUUUUCCGGCGACCUCGGACUUCAAUUCAGGUAUCAAAGUUGGUCGACUCGUCAAGCCCUACAUCUCUAUAUAAUUGGUUUUCAUUUUUGAUUAAGUUUUGAAGAAUCGAAGUUUUGGGGUUUUACUGUGCAAUUUGAGUUUUCCUGUUUGUGUGGUGAUUUUGGUUGCCUUGGGGCGUUCUUCGAUUGGAAUUGACUUUAUGAAGUUGAUUUGAUGAUCUUAAGCCCUUGAAUUACAUAAUUGGAAAAGUUGGGUUUUGGGGCAGUGUUGUUCGGCGAUGGAAGUGGUGGUUGAUGGUUCUGGGUUUGGUUUAUGUUUUAGAUGAAAUUACAAGAGCAUUAGAACUUAAUUAUGUUGUUGUGUCGCCUGGAUUCCAUAAACGGAGAAGUUGAGUGUAAGAAAAUUAGAGUUAUGCAAUUUGGAAUUGAGCUAAGAUUGGAGUAGAUGAUAGUAUCGGGUUUUCUGCUGAUUUUGGUUUAUUGUUUGUGGUGGUGACUGCAGUAUUCUUGUUCCAUUUCCAAUCAUAUGAAAGUGCAGGAACAUGAAUUUGGAUGCUUGAUUGGUAAAAGAUGAGUUUUGGGUGGUAGGAAAUGGAGCUGUGUUAUUGGAAUAGGGAGGGGAAGAUGGUUGUGUAUAGUACUAAUACUGAACUUGGCGGAGUUGAAGGAUGCAACUAAGAACUGUUGAUUUGCGAUAUGGAACUAGGAGCUUGAUUUCAAAUGGAGAAAGUGAGUAUUGGCAAGUGCAGGAGUAGGACAACUUGAGAAGUAUAAAUUGGCUAAAGAGCUUAUGGGUGUCCUUAUCAAUUUCAAAGACUGGAUUGCAUCGACUUGAAAUCAUCAGAGUGAAUAAAUGCGGAUUAAGGAACUCAUCUGGGUGUCUUAGUAGAUUUAUGAAUUCGGUCCGGUUGACUUAAAGUGACUUAAAUUUGGCUUAAAGUGAGUUUUGCGGAUUAAGGAUUCAGGGUGUCCUUAGUAAUUUUAAGAACAUGAUCAAUUUUGGAAAUUGAUUUAGUUUAUUUGAGGUUCGACGGCUUUCUCGGUAAGGAAUUGUGACGAGGAUCGAGUGACUAUCGACUUUUUCAGAAGCAGAAGGAUAAAGAUUUCAGAAUGCGUGUCGCUGAGUUAUUAGUUUUAAUUAGCGUCAGAACUAGCGCUCGGAUUUCAGGUAUGGUCUUUCUUGGGGAACCUUUUUUUAAAUUGAUAAUUAGAUUGUUAUUGAAAUUGGUGAAUUGUUUGUCAUUGAGUGAUUAACUCUUGGAUGUUACUGCUUUCUAUAAAAGCAUGUGUAAUCGUUGAGUUAUAUGAUUGUUAUUAUCGCUUUUCUUAAAAAGUAUGUGUUGGAUGAUAUAAUAUGAGUAUUGUUAUUCGUUGCAUACAUAAUGCAUUUUGAAGAAUUAUGAGAUUAGUGAGAUUGGUGAUUAUGGAGAGGUGAGAACGAGAUCAAAAUAUACAUUUUGUACAGUUGAGUUUCCUUAUGGGUUGUCCAUAAAUCUAUGUCAUCCCACUUGCGCAAAUGAGUGGGCAAAGUAUACUCCUUCGAUGGCGGACAUCAAUAAAACGAUCUUUCGGGUUUCGGUUUUGGAGAGUAUGAGUAUAACAAGAUGACUAACAAAAGAGGUACAGGUGAUGAGAUAUUACUGAUUGUUAGAUCAUAUAUUCGAGACAUCUGAGUCACCCAUGGUUGGUAAAAUACACUGUAUGAGACGUGUAACUGAGGAAGACAUUCAUUAGCAUAUAUGCAUCUAAUUAUCGUUAUAUAUUUAAAGUAUUGUUUGAUACUUGAUAACUUGAUUGUGUGACGACAUAGUUAAAUGUAACUAAAGAGGUUUGGCCCUACUAAGCGUGAGCUCAUCCCUAUAUACUCUUAUUCAGGUUCAUACAAGGACACAUAUUUGUAGAAGACUAACUGUGACGUUUAGUUGACGUGAACGAGAGUCGAGAAGGACUACCGAAGUUUCUAGUGAGCUAAACAACAAGACUAGUUUUACCUUUAUAGUGAGCUAGACUGCAAGACUUGUUUUGUCUUUAUAAUCGGUUUUGUUUUUUGUAAUCGUUUUAUUUUCGACUAUUUCGAGAAAAAUAUUUAAAAUUAUUUUAUUUUCUUUUAUUUUUCCCGCUCACGCCUCGGAUUCGGUGUUAAGUGUUUGGAAACCACCGACACCGGGUCAGGGGUGUGACAAUUUUAGUCCUUGGUUUGAUGCCUAAGCUACUUCGCUCCUCCAAACUGGGCCGGUGUUGGAUCAAACAAACAGAAACUUGAAAGAAGGAGUCCGAUACAAGUCAUACAACUACGUUGGUCGGAGCGGAUUUUACGCAUCAAGGUGCCCUUGCACCAUUAAUCUGUAAGUUUUUAAAUCUUCGUAUGCAAAGAUUUAAUGAAGACUAGAGACCUUAAAUUCUUUUCUUUCAUUUUUAUUUUUGACCUGAUCAAAUUAAACGCCAAUAAUUAGAGUACCUCUUAUUCAAUCUCAUGUCCUCAUCUCUUGUGUUGAAAACACUUUUGAUUAUUUUUUUGAGUUUUAAUUUUGUUAAUGGUAUUAAAAUACAUGCAUGAUAAUGCGACAUAGAUGAUCGGAUCAAAACAUUGCGUAUUAAUUGCUCGAUUCACUUGUAGAAGAAUUUUCGAGCUUCGGGCCAAUAUUCCAUUUUUCUUUUUAAUAAAAAAUUCUAGCAGCUAGACAGCUAGUUAACCAAUUGUGAAGCUACACAACUGGGACUUGCAGCGGAAAACAACUACCACGCGUUGCAUGGAGAGGUUAGGUCCUGCAUGCAACUCCGCCGCCCGUAAAUCUCCUACUGACAGCUCUACCCCUCGAUUUGCAGAUACUGAUGUAAAACCCGAGGACAAAACGGUAAUCGUUGAUACUCCGAGCCAGACAUAAAACUAUCCAAGAACAAAGAGGAGACACCACAGGAAAAAUGACCGGACCGCCUCUACCUCGACCCUUUCUAACGUGCUUGGUUGGUGUAGCAGUCUUAACCUGCGCACUAACCUUCUGUGUUGCCCUAGAUGUCACCCCCCAAGACCCAAUCAUCCACCAAGUCACAGACCAUGAUACUAACAAGCUCCUUGGAACCGAGAAAGAGUUCAAGAGUUUCAUGGAGAAGUAUGAGAAGAAGUACCCUACUAGGAAGGAGUACAUGCACCGGCUAGUUGUUUUUUCCAAGAACAUGAUCAGAUCCGCCGAGCACCAAGCUCUGGAUCCGACGGCGGUUCACGGCGUCACGCCGUUCUCGGAUCUGGAGGAGGAGGAGUUCGAGAGGAUGUACACCAUUCCUCGAAAAGUUAAAGUAAUCUUUUUUAGAAAUCGAAUGGAUUCGGUCUUAUACAUACGCAAGGAAGGUAAUAAAAAAAAAGAAAGAUGAGUUCUUUUAUCACUUAGGAGCUGUGCGAGAUAAAAGUCUCAUGCACGGUUUUGAAUGAGAGAAAGAAGUGAGGAAUCCUUUUUUCGACACUGACUCUCCCACUCCAGUUGUUGCUUUUUUUUUCUUUUUUUUCUGUUACUUCAAAAGUCGUUGCUUCAGUUUCAGCCACUCGAAUUUUCGAUGUUCUUUUUUAUUUCUCAUCAAACGAAUGGCAUUUUCUUCCUAUUACUCAAACAAGCAUGAAACGUAUGCUUGCGUAUUCGUCCAUAGGUCAAAUUGGAUAUGUAAUUAUUGGAAUAAUUGUUGGAGACUCAAAUGGUGGAUAUGUAAGCAUGAUAACUUAUAUGUUGUUCUAUAUCUCUAUGAAUCUAGGAACUUUUGUUUGCAUUAUAUCAUUUGGUUAGAGGUGCGCCCGGCUUAACCAACGGCGGAGGCGGUACGGGGAGCACGGUUGAGCUUCUGGAUGUUAGCGGGUUGCCUGAGAGUUUUGAUUGGAGAGAGAAAAAGGAGCUGUUACUGAGGUCAAGAUGCAGGUAGUUUCUAAUUUUCGUUUUAUUUCUGAUUUUUUAGGUUGGACACACAAUAUAUGUGAUUAACAGUUUCGGCCGUACUUAAAUCCUAGCUUUUUGCAAAUCAAGUUAUGGCACAUACGAUAUAGAAGUCUCGUAGCUGGUUGUAAAUUACUAAAUUGUGUAAUCUGAAGUCGAUCAGCUGAUCAGGUGCUGCUGGUUCUUUUGUUUAAUUGAUUGUAUAACUAGCUUGACUUUGAGAGUUUGAAGUUUUGUACAGAAAGAUUUGUCUAAUAGAGCUAGGGUGUUUGUGGAACAUGGAAUUAUUCUUCAGGCAAGGAGUUGUAUUGUGAUACUUAAAGCCUCUAAAUCUCUUGUUAUGGAUGCAGGGUGGCUGUGGGUCGUGCUGGACCUUUAGCACAACGGGAGCUAUUGAAGGAGCCAAUUUCAUUGCCACUGGGAAGCUUGUUAGUCUCAGUGAACAGCAGCUUGUUGACUGUGAUCACCAGGUAAUUAAGCCUAGCCUCUCUGGAAUAUAUUGAAGUACUCAUUUAACUUUAGGGCGAUAAAAAUUUAAUUGAUUGAGCAUAUAUAUAAUAUUUGGCAUGCCUACUUAAUUAGUUUCGUUUAAUGUUUGUGGCAACUAUAAUCAAGUGUGAUGCAAAAGAGAAAGAUGCAUGUGAUCGUGGUUGUGGUGGCGGACUUAUGACAAAUGCCUACAAGUAUCUAAUGGAAGCAGGAGGGUUGCAAGACGAGGUUUCAUACCCUUAUACGGGGAAAAAGGGCGAAUGCAAAUUUAAUCCUGAAAAAGUAGCCGUGAGAGUAACCAAUUUCACCACUAUUCCCCUUGAUGAGAAUCAGAUUGCAGCGAACUUGGUCCACAAUGGUCCUCUUGCCAGUGAGUACUAAACCUGAUAAUAUGCUUAAAAAUAGCUAGGCUUUUUAUGUAUCUAUGUGUGCGUACAUAGAACUGCCUUAAGUGUCUUAUUUUCUGAAUAUGAUGUGCACUGUUUAGCAUAUUUAGAUCUGAGUGUAGAUACACCCCACUGAUACAGAAUCUUAAUUGAUGUAUGUAUGCGCAGUUGGCUUGAAUGCUAUGUUCAUGCAAACCUACAUUGGCGGUGUGUCAUGCCCUCUUGUUUGUUUCAAGAAAUGGGUGAACCACGGUGGUUCACUUGUUGGAUAUGGUGAGAGUGGCUUCUCGAUUCUCAGGCUCAGCAACAAGCCGUAUUGGAUCAUCAAGAAUUCAUGGAGCGCAAAAUGGGGAGAACAUGGUUAUUACCGACUUUGCCGAGGCCAUGGCAUGUGUGGGAUGAAUACCAUGGUGUCUGCAGUUGUGACCAGUACGCGGGCAUCCUAGCUGCAUCUCCCGAGAUUAGCUAGUAUAUAAUUAUACACUAUAAUAUUAUAUGCACCUCUCCCUUGUUUUUUCUUAAUCCGAAUUUGAUGUUCCUAUAAUCAUAUUUCAACAAUAUUAUUGUUAAUAUGCCGAAGUGGAAAGUCUUGUUUACGUCAAAACCAAUUCGAACUAUAUUUUGUUAGCUUUAAAUGCUAGAUUGUCAGACUUCAAAUUUAAGUCGGAAAAAUUUUACAAUAUGUUAAUGCAUGUUAUGCAUCAAUUUUAUCCUAAAAUUGUAAAAUGAGUCUCUAAAGUAGUAAUAUUAGUCCUUGAAGUUGUAAUAUAUACGAGUAGUUGUAAAUUUUAAAGUUACAACAUUAGUUAUCAUGUGUCCUUAAAGUAAAUUUUACAGUUACAACAUUAGUCAUUGUGUCUUUAAAGUGAUAAAAUGCGUGCUUAAAGUGGUAAUUGAAUCCUCAAAGUGAUUGAAAAAGUUUUUAUAUCUUUGAGGAUUUGUAUUACAACUUUGAGGAUUUGUAUUACAACUUUGAGGACUCAGUUACCUCUUUAAGGACACAUAAGGAUUAAUAUUGUAACUAAUUUUUUUACAACUUUAAAGACUUAUAUUACAACUUUAAGGACUAGCUAAUAUUACUACCGUAAGACUCGAUCAUUUUAUAACUUAAGAGCAAAGUUGAUACAUCACAUGCAUUUUUUUUUUAUUGGUUAAUGAUCGAGGAUAGGCGAAUAAUCACCUAUCACUCUAUGUUAUUAAUAAAAGAAAAAAGAAACAAAGGAGGGGGAUCAAAACCAAAACAUCCUAAAACAAAUGACAGACUAGCUGAAACGAAAUUGAGGCAUACCUCUAACAUCGUUAUUAUAAGACAAUAAUAUGAAAGGUGGAGGCUCAUCCCACCAUAUCAAUUCAGAGCAUGACGUACCUUGAUUUGCCAGAGCAUCAGCUAUCUUAUUCCCUUCACGAAAAAUAUGAGUAGCCUUGAAAUUCAUUUUAGAGAUUCGGUAUAAGCAAUUCAACCAACGAACUCGAAGAGGCCAAGGAACAAGAGAAGGUCUGCGAAUAUAAUCAAGUACCAAAGAUGAGUCAACUUCCAACCAAAUAUGCUUCCAAUCACGAACCCAAGCAAGCUCAAUAGCUUUAAUAACAGCCAUUAUCUCCGUUGAAAUUGAACUAGGAAUUUCAAGAUUAGAGGCAAAAAGCACCUAGAAAGUGGCCCUUGUAAUCUCUAAAAAUAGCACCAUAACCACCCACUCCCUCUUCAUGCUUCCAAGAGCCAUCAGAAUUUAUCUUCACCCACCCAAGAGAAGGAGGAAUCCAAUUAACUUCAACCACUCUAGGAGUGGCACGAGGUCGACAUGGGGCUCCAAAACAUUUCAAAAUUCGUAGCUCCUGGACACUGUUAUGCAUAUGACCCGUUGUAAGAUGACUAGUGGCUCUUAUAUGACUUGAUAUUAGCUUGCAAACAACUUCAACUGAAAAGCGACAACCAUCAAAUCUGGUUUUAUUUCUCACAUGCCAAACAAACCACAAAAUGGAGGUAAAGCAAAUAAGCCAUAAUUCCAUUAAUUGAGGACUUCUUCCAUUCUGCAAACCCAACCCAUAAAGCUCCAAAAUAGAAGAAGGAAUCAUACCUAACUCAAAAAUAGAGCCAAAGUGACAGAAGAGACGCCAACGGCACCAACACCCAAAGCCAAAGGUAAAGUGUUCGUCAAAGGACUCCACAAUUCCAAGAAUGCUUUCCAUGUGCUCGUGCAAUAAUGGUAAGGAUAUCGAGAGACGCCAACGGCACCAAAUAUUCCAGCUUGAUUCAAUACGCCUUCAAAAUUGGCUAAUAUGAAUUCUGUCCACUCCAUUACGCCUAUCUCAAGUGUAGCACAACCCCGGAAACAAAGGCUCGAAGACCAAUCUUGUUUGGUGUUUAGCAUCCUGUGAAGUAUCGGGUAAAAAUUCUCUUCGAAAGUGAAAAGACCUCCAUCAUGUCUGUUAUCAACCUUCUCCAAAGUAUGCCCCUUAAAUACAUGGGAAAAGUUGUGGGUUGUUCUUAUCACUUGAUCCUCCAAAUCUUGGCGAAAUGUAAGAAAGCCUGAGUUCAUUUCAACUUCUGUCACCAAGGUAAUGAUGUCUUUAGGAGGGACAUCAACAUGAAUGGAGCUUAAAGGCUGUGAUCUCACGUACUCUAUGCCCUUUCCAACAACCUGCCUGUGUUUGUCCAAAGCUGCCUCGCGGGAAAUUCGACCAUAUGCAUCCAUUACCUGAGAUUAUAGCACGCAGAGAUGUUAAAAGCAAGCAAUAGCAAGUCAAGCUUUGCGCGAGAAAAGCAAGUUCCACGUACAAAGCUUGAGGGGGCACUGUUGAUACCAAAAAAAAAGGAUUACAGAAAAGGAAAAAAAUAAAUAAAAUAAAUAAAUGGAAGAGUAUUUAUUCAUGUCAUACUCUUCCGUUGGUUUUGAUUACACGCACAAAGCUUUUGAGUUCAAUUACAACUCUUGCAAGCAGGUGCUUGGAUAAGAACAAAUCAGUACGAGCACCAGAGUUUGAUUGUAACUCAAUUAUCCUAACCAAGCACUCUAUAUAAAGAGGCCAAUACCUUCAAAAAAAAAAAAAAAANAANNNNNNNNNNNNNNNNNNNNAACACCAACGGGAGGAGGCAGGCGGGCAACAAGGAGGAUCACAAAGGAGCGGUUCAUUCUUUACAAGGUUCGGAUGGAGAGUUCUCUUUCUCUUUGCGCAGCUCUCUUUAUGUUCUGUUGAUGGAGGCAUCACUGCCUUCAUAUUCCUCGCAGAUGGCCUCUGGUGUUCUUGGUUACUAUUGUUCCUGGUCACCCAAAUCCCUUGCGGAUCGAUCUGGUUAUUAUAGUUACUGUGUUCUGUUGGUUACUUGGUUACUACUGUGUUCUCUUGGUUACUUGGUUACUCAAAUCCCUUGUGGAUCGUUCCUGGUUACUCGUUACUUGGUUACACAAAUCCCUUGCGGAUCGUUCCUGGUUACUUGUUACCCUAAACAUUGGUUACUGGAUACUAUGGUUACUGGAGACUAAUGGCUACUAUGGCAAUGGUUCUAUGUUACAAUGGUUAUAUGACACUAUGGUUACUAUGAUUCUGGUUCUAUGGCUACUGUAGCACUAUGGUUACAAUAUGGUUCUGGUUCUUUGGGUACUUUGACACUGGUUACUAUAACAGAUCGGUUGCCCUUUGAUCCUACAAAACCAAACACAAAACCAAUACUCAAAAUUCCACCACAAAAGGCCAUUGUUGUCCCUGUUCCCUGUUAACCACCACAGCCAAAUACCUUUCCAAAUUCCAUGUUUCAAGCACCAACUCAAAUACUGUGCAAUGAAACUAAAAGAGACAAUAACAGAGGCUUACCCUCAAACUAUGACAAUCGAUCUAUUCCGAUACUACAACUACUACCUGUGUUUCAUACCUUCAUGCUGUAGCAGGAAUGGUGAUGAUAUUGCAAAAAGAGAACAGCAAGUUCCUGUCAAGUUAACCUCACAAAAACAUCCGAGCAAAGAGAGUCAUUGAUUCUUUGGCUCUGUCCCUUUAAAAAAAACAAAGGGGGCUCGGUGAGUUUUCUCAUGAUUCUUCUCCAAUAUCACAAGAUGACAAGAAUCAAGCUUGGCGGUGACCCUCCCAAACAGAGAAGGCUUACUCAAACAUAAAUAUGCAUUCACCACCAUGGAGUAAAACAAAAGAAGCAAACUUAAUUAAACAAGUUUUGUUUCUGGAAGUUCCAAGGCAGCGAGCCGAAUACACCCACAGUCAAAUAAAUUGGAGCUAAGAAGUUUAGAGUCUCAAAGCAAAAGACGUGUUCUUCCUCAAAUUAAAGCCUGCAAAUUGAAGCCUGCAGCAAAAUUAACCUACUCGAAGCUAAGCUCAUCCAUUCGACGCUAAGCUAAUCUACUCGAAGUUAAGGAAGCGAAGGAUAAUUAAUUUUGCCAUUGAAGAAUUGUAACAAAGCACCUAUCCAACACAAGGCAGUAACCAAAUUGAACGCUACCUGUGAAGAAACAAGCUUUUGACCAGUGGGAAAUCCUUCGAAAUUACUCUGAAGCAUAAUGGAGAUACUUUCGUCAUGAGGGUAUUUGAAUUGUAGGGAUGAAAGCAGGAACACAAUAGGGGUUAUCCUUACCCAAUUUCGCACAGUGAGAAAGAGCACAGCAAAUCUCAAGCCUCCCAGUGUUGAUAAAUUUCUUCUCGGCGACUUAGGAGCACUGCCAUCACCAAGUCGGUUGCUGCGCCAACCCCUCUCCAUUUGAUCAGUUUCGGCCUUCAAGUUCUUCUGGGUUACAAUAAACAAGGCAGCAGAAGAUCAAAAGAAAGAAAAGAAAUGAAGAAUGGGGAGAGGGAAAGCUAACGGGCCUCCACAUUGACGGAUGCUACUCACAAGCAAGGCCCAUGUCAAAUUUGGGCCCAUCUGAAAAGUUCAACGAGGCUCAAUAUAUGGGUGUUCAAAUCAAAAUACCCAAACUUCGGUUUCGUUUAAAAAUUCUUCGGAACCCGAAUGAAGUUGCGUUUGGUACAAAACCAAGAAAUACUCAAAUACCCAAAUUUUUGAACUACAAUGGUUUGAUCCCUUCACAGGGUAUGUAGGCAGUCCAGAUUUAAAUCUGGAUAUAACCACAUUUAAAGCCAAAUCGUUGGUUCUUUCCAAGCCAAAUUCUAAAACACAUAACCAAACCUUUCGACAAGUCAUCUACUUCGUCGAAACCCCAAAAGCCAUAAAACUUGAACUACGAGUGACUUGAUCCCUUAUGGGGUACGUAGGCAGCCUGUAAAACAAAUCGGGUGCAGUCGCAAUUCCCCUCGAACACACAUUCCCCAUUUGUUACUUUGUAAUUAGAAUCAAAGGGUCUUCCCCCGAAAGCAAGGGUUGUAAUUAAGAAAUUUAUUUUAUUUCGAAUGGGUCGAACCAGACAUAAUUAAAACUCUAUUUUAAUCAAUGAGAUAGAGUGAAAUUGUGUUGGGUAUAUUUAUUUACAAUUUUUGCUCAACAUAGUUUUUGGCGACUUCACUGGGGACUCUCAACUGGUCAUCAGACAAAUAAAUGACGAGUAUGCAGUCAAAAAUGAGAACCUUAUAUCAUACUACCAAAGAGUUAAAUAUCUCCUGGGACAAUUUCGAGAGAUAUAUGUUGGCCACAUUCCAAGAUCAGAGAAUGAUAAAGCAGACGCAUUGGCUAACUUGGCAGCUUCUUUAGUACUUCCUGAAGAGAAAGACAUCCAAAUAACAGUUGGAGAACGUCGAUUGCAGUCCUACGUCACUUGAACGAAUGGAAGCUACCAAUGAAACAAAUGUAGUUUCUGUGUUCGAAACUGAGGAAGAAUCUGAUUGGCUCAAAUUGAUGCAGUGAACGAGCAAGAGAGGAAAGUAUGAUUCAAAGUCUCCGAGCAAACACCACAAAGCUCACAUCUAGAAACCCAAGGAAUACCUCGACGCUGAAGUAAAACAUCAGAAAUAACUCUACCUCUUAACACCUUCCAUGCUAGGAAAGACAUUCUUGGCAGAAUAUAUUUAGCCCAUAAUCUCUUACCCCAAAUUACUGGAUUAGAAGAAUGCCGCAUAAAAGUAUAGGCUUGUUUUGCGGUUAACUCAUCGGAGGCUGAAGAGGUCCAUAUAAGUUUGUCAUUAACUGAAGGAUCUUCUGACACAGGGACUUGAUUGAUCAUACCACAUAAGGCUGGGUAGUGCAACUGUAGUAAUGGAGGAAGAUUCCAUGAACCAUUGUCUAUAUAUUUUGACACCAAAUCCGAGUUAUCCUGCAUCAACACAUUAGAACCAAAGAACUCAUUUAUUGGCCUACCCAUAAACUUGUCGCGCCAAAAGUAAAUUCCAUUCCCAGAACCAAUGAACCAUUGAGAAUUAUCUUGAACAGUCUUCCAGAAUUGACGAACACCAGGCCAUAUAGAAGAAGGAGCAUAAGAUUUCCGUCUAGAGAAACGAUUGCGAAUAAAAGCACAACCCUCAGAUUGAGCUGUAUAGAUUUCCCAGCAACGUUUCAAUAAGAGAGAUCGAUUAAGCAGAACUAGUUGUUUGAGCCCCAAGCCACCUUCUGCAAUUGGGGAACAACAAGACUUCCAAGCCACAAGAGGGAUCCCUCUUUUAUCAAUUGAGCCAGACCACAGAAAGUUUCGGCACCAUACCUCAAUUUUUCGCACCACAGACACAGGCCAUUCAUAUACUUGAAAAAUGUAUACCAACAUGCUAAAAAUAACAGACUUGAUAAGCUGCAAACGUCCUGCCAUUGACAAAAAAGAACUCACCCAACUCGAUAACUUUAUCCUUAUUUUGUCAACAAUCUGAUGGAAAUAAGAAGCACGAGGUUUGCCAUGAAAAAUAAGGGCACCCAGAUACAUGAAUGGAGCAGACCCCAAGGGAAUACCCAAGAAGUUCGAAAUAGAAUGCCGCCUUGAAUGUAUACUAUUUCCAAUAAAAACCUGAGACUUCCCUUUGUUGAUAACUUGACCUGAAACUCUACCAUACUCAUCGAAGAACCGCAUAAUCCGCGAUAAAUUCCGCCUAUUGCCCCGAAAAAAAACAAUAACAUCAUCUGCAAAUAGGACAUGAGAUGGAGCAAGAGUAUUUCGUGGAGAAGAGAUACGCUGCAGUUGUCCCGAUGAAACAAGUAAAGAGAUCCCACGACUAAGGACUUCUUCUGCUAAGCAAAAGAGCAAGGGAGAAAGAGGGUCACCUUGACGCACACCCCUUUCACAAGAAAAAUACCCCACAGUCCUCCCAUUAAUCAACAGAGAAAGCUUGGCUGACAGAAGCAAGGCACGCACCCAUUGUACAAAGAUCGGAUCAAACCCAAAAGCCUGAAGAACAUGAAGAAGAAAAUCCCAUGACAGAGUAUCAAACGCCUUUGUAAUAUCAACCUUAAUUGCAAGGUUACCCCCCAUGACAUUUUGAGUUCAACAAAUUAAAGCACUCUGAAGUAGUUAAUAUACAGUCUGAUAUGUUCCUCCCUGCAACAAAAGCAUGCUGUUGAGGAGAAAUAAUACGAGAUGCCACUGAUGCCAACCGGAUAGCUAUGAUCUUUGGGAUAAUUUUAAACACAAAGUUGGUGAGGGCAAUAGGCGAAACUGCUUUAUGGAGUCGGCAUGAUCAACUUUGGGGAUUAAGAUGAUAAUACCUGAGUUAAAGGAAGGAGCCAAAUAACCAUGUUGAAAAAAUACUGAACAGCCUUAACAACAUCAGCACCAACAACAUCCCAGCAAGAGACGAAAAAAUGGCCAUUAAAUCCAUCUGGCCCCGGGGCACUAUCAGGAUCCAUUGAUUUGACAGCUGCCCAAAUUUCCUCUGAUAAUGGAACACUAGUAAGCAUCGUAUUUUCCUCAGGAGUUACCAUAGAGUGAAUCACUUUGGACACCAAGCCACUAUCUUCAUACUCUGCAUGUUUAGUAAAAAGAUUUUUGUAAUAAUCAACUAUAUGAUUUUGGAUAUAAUGAGGAUCCUGAAGCACCUGAUCUCCAUCACGAAGCAGAGUAAUAGAAGAACGAUUUCGGCGCACUUUACACAAAGCAUGAAAAUAAGAAGAAUUACGAUCACCUUCUGAUAACCAUCGCAACCUUGACUUCUCACGCCAAAGAAUUUCCUGAUGCAGAAUAGACUCAUUCAAAAUGGCCUGCAAUUCAGUCUCUUUUUCAAACUCUUCAUCUGAUCCCCCAGAAGCUGCAAUUUUAUUUUGAAUAUCAGCAAGGGCUGCAAGGUCAAACUCAACCCGACGGUGAACAUCCCCAAAGACCUCCCAGUUCCAAGUACGGAGAGAUUUCCUUAAGGUACGCAGCUUAUAUUGCAGGACAGAAUAAGGACAACCAAACGAAGUAGUAGAGGACCAACAUCCUUUGACAAAACUCAUAAAAUCCUUAUGCUCCAACCACAUUUUUCUAAACCGAAAGAGACUAAAACGAGACCCUGUAAACUUAGAAAAGGACAUUAGUAGUGGAUUAUGAUCAGAGCAAGUUCUGGGUAAGGUGCAACAGUCAAACUGAUCCCAUUCCUCCAUCCAAUUCAAAUUAGCAAGACUUCUAUCUAAUCUUAGCUCCACAUUACCACGAAAACCACGCCGUCUCACCCAUGUAAACUCUGCCUCUUUAGUAUCUACAUGAAUAAGUUCACAAACAUCUGACAUUGUCUGAAAUUCCUCACAUGAUCGCCGACAUAGAGGAGCACCUCCUUUCUUUUCAUGAGCACCAAGAACUGCGUUAAAAUCUCCAAAAACCAACCAUGGUCCUGUAACAAAACGACCUUUGAAAUCAGUAAUAUCUUCCCAUAACUUCCGGUGGCCAGAGAUUGUGGUACGAGCGUAGACAGCUGUAAGAAAACAGUUUACCGAAUCAAACAUAACUUGUAAAGAAACCUGCUGAUCCGAGGUAGACAACACCCGAAUCCAUGGAGCCAGAGAAGUCUUACAAAAAACCCAUAGAUUAGGUAAUGCAGAACCCCGGUCAUUUGCACCAACAAAUCGCAUGCCUAACGAACGCCAAAAGAAUAGAGGAAUUGAAGUCAAGGCAACGAAAGGCUCAGCUAUACAUAAAACUUCCAGGUUGUGAACCCGUACAAACUGUUUCAAAGCAUCUUGAGUGGGGACAUUAGCAAUGCCCCGUAUGUUCCAAUAAAGAACCCUCAUUUAGGAGUGUCUUUGGAGCGACGGAGAUAGGCUUCCCUAUUCUCCUUCGAAGCAGCCUUCCUCUUUUGAGACCUGGACAUAACAACAGUAAAACCAUCAUCAAUGUCAACUCGUUCUGUCUCCUCAUACCAGCUAUCAAUUCGAGUUACUGAAUUUGCAGCAACAGCAACCCCAAUGUCAGAAGACUGCUCAUGCAUACUACCACCGGCAGAGUCAUCUUCACUAUUCUGCUCGUUCUGAUCAAUUGCAUACCUAGUAUCAUCUUCUUGCUCAACCACAUUACCAUGGAUAGCUACUGGUACCAAAACCACAUUCACCCCCGGCUCAACCACUUCUUGGACAGGUGCCACCACUUCCACUAGCGGUUCCGGCACAACACUAGAUAUCACUAGUUGGCCGACCGGUGCUGGAGACUUCUGCACAAAGGAAGGACCCUCACCAAAAUCUUCCCUGGGGUUUGGAGUUGAAUCAAUAAUCAUGCUCUUACCUCGAUCUGCUGGAUUAGAUGGGUUUUUAGGCACAUACACUUUGGAGACUCGUUGCUGAUCACGGUUCCUGCGAGAUCGUCUACUACGCUUGCGCGAUCGACCUCUGCCUUUCUCAGUCUCAUUAUCCAUUGGAACCGGGUCAGAAGAUCUAUGCACAUACUUGCAAGCUGUGACAAGGUGCCCAACGUUGCCACAAUGAGCACAAAUAUGUGGAAGCUUCUCAUAAUCCACAGUCUGAACAAAAGACGAACCGCACUUACGCUUGACAACCAAUUCAUGCGGUGGAUCAACAGAGAGAUCAAUAUCAACCAAUAUUCUAGCAAAUAGGGUUCUAGGUUCCCAAAACUCAAGCCCUAGAUCCUAAAACCUCACCCACACCUGAGCAUUAGUAUUACGUUGAUUCGCUGGGGAGAAAUUUGGAACCCAUCGCAUGAAACGCAAGAAGCCAGGCUUGAGAGCAAUUGCACCCUUUACCCAGACUGUAGAGAGAUCCUCAUCCGUAGAGAAGCUAAACGUGAAAUAACCUUUUCCCAUGGGAAUAAUCUUCCAAGCCCCUAGACUUCCCCAAAGAAGAGAAAGCUUAUGAGACAGAUCUGAUGCAGAGUAGGGUUUAUCCCUCAAACCCAAUUGCACCCUUCCGAUUAACAUAUGUUUACAAUUAUCCAAACCCGAUUGAUAGCCCUCUUCUGAAAUAGUAACAGUUGUCUUGCCAUCUAAAAUCUCAGGAAUAGGUAGAUCAUCAAUUGGGAUGAAAGCUUGCGCCGCCGCCGCCGCAUAAGAUUUCGUCGGCUUCGCAGCCCCCUCGUCGAGAAAAGACCACGGGCAGAAGGGACGAUGCUGAACAGCCAUGACGUCGUGAAGCAAACGGAACUCGAAUUCAAGGAUUUACUGCAGGGAGGCUCCAGCACGGGGAAACCCUAGCAGAGCCAUCACCAACAUAAUGUAACUCGAUGCAUCACAUCCAUUAACACACUAUAGUCUUACCUUUUAAGUUGAGUCAAUGCAAGAGUUGCACUAUUUAGACCAUUUGGUUCUUCCGAAAAUAUGUAUUAUAUUUUUGAGAAUUUCAACGUCUGUAGUAGAGUCGACGAGGAUUUUAGAUUUGAUUUCGUCGAUGGCGUUGUCGAGCUAUUGCGUCAAUAGGAUGAUGAAGAGCAACCGGAAUCACCUCUCUUCUGACGCAAUUUGUUUUUCAAAGAUCUGGUCCGUUGCACUGGCCGGUCGAAGCCUUUUCAGUUCUCAAAACAGUUCAGAAACUACAGGUCUGAUAAUGAAAUGCAUAAAACAUUUAUAACUAUUGGUAAUUUAUAUCCUAGAGUUGUUCGAGUGUACUAACCACAGGAAAUAACGAUCUAGCUAGACUACCUUAUUUUCGUUAGGGCUGCUCUAAUUAGUCAACAUAUGCAGCUAGGUGAUGAUAAACUUACCCAAUUCGUUGUGAAAAUAAUUGAACCAUCAGUAGCCGUGAUAGUCCUUACGUACCUGCCCUUUCAUGAGCCUUAAUAUUUGGUGGCUUAUUAGCUACGCACUAAUGGUAGUUAAUUGUGCUUAUUUUGUGCAUGUGUGUUCUAAUACAAUUACCUACCUAGUUCUAAUUGUUCUAAUUCGUCGUGGAAUGUUUUCAGAGGAGAAAACUGAAUGGGGUAGCAUAGAGCCCUAUUACAAAAUAAUGUAUCUAUAACCUUCUCUAAUUUACAUAGUAAUUGACGCAAUUUGGCCGAACUGUUUCUGAACACACUGCUUCAGUUCUUUAUAAACCACGUACCAUAUGUAUGUAUUCAAGUGUCAGAUAUACUGAACCUACAUCGCCAAAAUGGAGAGAAUUCAGGUCAGUAUAAUUUCCAAACACACCGUCAAACCAUCAGCUUCCUCUUCACUACUUCGGGAUUGUCUAUGGUACAGCGCUGUAUGCCAUACAUCCUCUAACAGGACUUGUGUGCACGUGCCUUGCAGUGGGGGUGGGUGUUUUGUUUUGAAAUUUUUAGCCUUGAAAGCAGGCUGCAUAUCAUGCAGGGCUGCAGAUAGAAUUUUCCCUGAAUAUCACGCAUAUCAGCGCUGCAUGAUAUGUAUGAUUGUCUAUGGUACAACGCUGCAUAUCAUGCAGCGCUGCAUUAAAGCAGACUGCAUAUCAUGCAACGCUGCAGGAUAUGCAGCCUGCUUUCAAGGCUAAAAAUUUCAAAAUAAAACACCCCCACCUGCAAGGCACGUGCGACACAAGUCCUGUUAGAGGAUGUAUGGCAUACAACGCUGUACCAUAGACAAUCCCACUACCCUACUUCAGCCUUACAAGCUUACCCUGCUCGACCAGCUCACUCCUCCAUCGUAUGUCCCCAUGGUAUUCUUCUACCCCAUUACUGGCCCUGCAGUCUUCAAUCUUCAAACCCUAGCUGACUUAAGACAUGCCCUUUCCGAGACUCUCACUUUGUACUAUCCACUCUCUGGAAGGGUCAAAAACAACCUAUACAUCGAUGAUUUUGAAGCCGGUAUCCCAUACCUUGAGGCCCGAGUGAAAUGUGACAUGACUCAUUUUCUAAGGCUUCCAAAAAUCGAGUGCCUAAAUGAGUUUGUUCCAAUAAAACCAUAUAGUAUGGAAGCAAUAUCUGAUGAGCUUUACCCCUUGCUUGGAGUUCAAGUCAACAUUUUCGAUUCUGGGAUAGCAAUAGGUGUCUCCGUCUGUCACAAGCUCAUCGAUGGCCGAACGUCAUACUGUUUUCUCAAGUCCUGGGGUGCUGUUUUUCGUGGGUGUCGUGAUGAAAUCAUACAUCCUAAUCUCUCUCAAGCAGCAUUGCUUUUCCCACCGAGAGAUGACCUGCCUGAAAAGUAUAUAGCUUUGAUGGAAGGGUGGUCGAUUGCCGUAAAGAAAGUUGCUACAAGGAGAUUUGUAUUUGGUGCGAAAGCCAUAUCUGCAAUUCAAGAUGAAGCGAAGAGCGAGUCCGUGCCCAAGCCAUCACGAGUUCAGGCCGUCUCUGGUUUUCUCUUGAAACAUCUUCUCUCUGCUUCUCGGGCAUCAUCAUCAGGUAAAUCAGUUUAUGUGUCUUCUUAAAAGUGCACCACAUGCAAUUGCGUGAUUGGCAAAGGAGGGCUAGGCGUGAUUAAUUAAGCUAGAGAAGACAAGGUUUUUCCAUUAAUUGUUAGUGAGGCUUGCUCAAAUGCGAGCGUACAAGAGUUUUCAGUAGCUUUAUUUCUGCUGCUUAGGUUAUACCGGAUUUGUUUUGUAAGUUAGAAAAAUACAACUUAUUGGAUAUUGUUAUAAGCAUCUAAUUAAUGAUAUGAAUGAAAAAGAAAAAAGAUCGUACACUUAACAUUUUUCUGCUAUUAUUUCAUACUUAUUUUAUAUUUUUGUAUUACAUAUACUGUACAUAGCUUAAAAAUGAGAAAAUAUAUGAACUUUUGCAGGUACUACUUCAACAAAACUUUCUAUAGCAGCUCAGGUAGUGAACUUAAGAUCACAGAUGAACAUGGAGACAACGUUGGGUAAUGCCAUUGGAAACCUGAUGUGGUGGGCUCCGGCCAUACUAGAGUUAAAUCAUAAAGCACGAGAGAGCAGCGAUCCUAAGCUGUGUGACUUGGUUAUCUUGCUCAAUGAAUCUGUCAAACAAUCUAACAGUGAUUACUUCGACACUUUCAAGGGUAAAGAGGGAUAUGGAAGAAUGUGUGAGCAUCUAGAUAUGGAGGGGACUGUAAGUUCUGUAGAACCAGCACCAGAGAUAUAUUCAUUCUCGAGCUGGACUAGAUUUUUCGACCAAAUUGAUUUUGGAUGCAUGGGGGAGGUCAUCUUGGAUUGGAGUUACCGGAAAACAAUCUGCAUAUUGGAAUUCCACAGUUUUAGUACCAACACAAUGUGAUACUGGAAUUGAAGCGUGGGUGAAUCUAGAUGAAGAGAAAAUGGCUAUGCUAGAACAAGAUCCCCAGUUUCUAGCAUUAGCAUCUCCAAAGACCCUAAUUUCAAGGUAUUGAUUAUGAAAGAUUAUGUGGCUCGUGCAAUGUUUCCAUUUGCAGUGAAUAAGGAUUAAAUUAGUUCCCCGGCCAAUUAAUAAGAAGCAAGGUAUGAUAGACUAUGGCUACGUAUGUUAGUAUGUUAUCCGAAUGUGCUUCGUUAUGCUUUUAACCAAUAUAGCUCUGUUUUGUAACAAUGCUCUAUUGAGCUUCUAACUAUAGAGUUAUUUUUCUUGAUUAGAAAAAGAAACUAUGCAAGUUUUGUUUUGUUAAGCUAUUCUGUUUCUAAAAGAAAGGCUAUUCUGUUUCUAAAACGGGAUGCAUGUAUUACCUAAAAAGAUGAUUCACCUAUAAUUAUUUUUCAAGUAAAUGAUUAUUUGAUAGCAAUCACGCCGUGUAUUUCUAUAGCUAAAAUUGUAAUUUAGAUCAGUGACAACAUGAUUAAAAGUUACAUAUUCUGAUACAUUUGUUAUUUAACGACAAGUGUGGCCAUAAUGCCUCACCUAGUCACCUAAUGCGAAGACCUCUACGAGAGACUAAUGUCGUCUGAUCUUCUUUUCUUAAUCAAAAGAAACGAAAAUGGCCACAAUGCCUCACUAUUCAUAGAACCAUACAAUAAUUUGGAACAUAUGCAUGGAUGCAAAGAAAAAUAACACAAGAACCAUCAUAAUUUCACAUUAUAUGAGAAACUUAGCCAAAUCCGAAUCACAUCCAUGUUGGCCAAGAGUGACUAAAGAAGACCACCCAGAAAGCUAGAAAACCAUAAAAUCCAGAAAACUUGAAUAAGCUAGGGAAAAAACAAAAAUGUGACAUUCCAUUUCUUCUUGCGGUUUUGUUAGGCCAAAUCAAAAUCUCAAUGACCCUGCAAUCAUUUACACACACUCUUUCUCAAUCUCUGCAAAACUGACUGCUUCCCCUGAAAACUUGCGCAAUAGGGUACCUAGCUCUCUGGCCUUUUCUUUCUAAUGCACAAUUUAUGGCUUUUGGUAAUGAUGAUUUUAUGCUUGUGGAUCUCAGAUGGGUUUGUUUUGUUUUGGGAUUUUUAUAAAUGAAUGCAUUGAAAAUGUUGAAAGCUUAUGCCUUUGUUCCUUGGUUCAGUGUUCUGGUUUUGUGUACGUACGAGAGUUGAAAUGUGAUCUCUAGUAUCGGUAAAGAGAAAUGUUCUAACCAUGCUAGUGUUAGUAAUUUAUCUUCUAAAGUUGUUUGAGUACUUUACUCUCUUACUUUACUAACUAAGCAUAGGAAAUAACGACCUAAACUACCUGAUUUUCGUUAGUGCUUGUAAACACGAAAAUUCCUGUAACGAAUAACAGAAAGACAUGUGUACAAAAUAAUAUAUUUGUAUUGAUUGAAUUUGCGGGUUACAAUCUCUAUGGGUAUUCUUUUAACAAGAAUGUCCUCUGAUUCGAUCUCCGAUGUUGAUUUGAUCCAAGGGUGACAAGCACUUGAUCUUGAAUUGAACUGUUGUAGUUUGAACUUCUUAUUGUGUUGACGAUUUGUAGAAGGAAGUUGACCAAGGGCCAUAGAGGCUUGAUCUUGGUCGAAUAUGGGCCGCGAGAGGUGUCACGUGGUGAACGUUCUUCGACUUGAUAGCGGAUGAAUCGGCACGUGUGUUUGGUACUUGUUGAUUCUCCACGAGGUUGUUGAAGAACUUGGUAGAAGUUUUGAUUUGUUGAAAGACUUGAAGACGAGGGUUGAUCAAGGGCCGUAGAGGCUUGACGUUGAUCGAGUUUGGGCCGAGCAGUUCCACAUGGUGGUUGCUCUUCGUCUUGUAGUUGGUGAAGAUGUCAGCUAUUUGGCAACUUGGGACUCUUCGGGAUUUGACAACCUAUAGGCUUGAGGUUGAUGAAGAAUCAACUAUUUGGCAGCUUGAUGAUUCUUCAAGGGUUUUGGGAGAAUUCUAAACUCUCGGGAGUAAUUUUUCUCUCUUGUCUGAAAGUCGUCCUCUUGAUAUGAGAGGGGGUAUUUAUAGUGUUAAUGCUCCUCCGUAAAUGGAAUGCAUUGAAGUCACAGCUUUAAUUAUAUUUCCUUAAUGAUAUAAUUAAAUCAAUCACUUUUGAUUGAUUGAUUCAAUUAUUCAAUUUCCCAUAAUUAAAUCAAUCAGUCUUAAUUGAUCGAUUUAGUUAUGAUCGAUAAGGUAUUUCACUAAUUUGAUUAAAUUCCGACUUCCUUUUCGAUAAUUGAUUUGAUUUGAUUGAUGUUUGAUUAUCGAUUGACAUUUAAUAUUUUAUUUUAGUUGGGAUUGAUGAUUUUGUUGUCGACCGACCAUUCACACGCCGCCACGUGUUAUUUUCGAAGACUUUUCAACUUUGCUGACUCACGAGCCACGUAUGCACGAGACUUUUCAACGUCUCUAAUUUACAUAGUAAUUGACGCAAUUUGGCCGAACUGUUUCUAAACACACUAAGCUUCAGUUCUAUAUAUACCGCGUACCACAUGUUUCAUCAAGUGUCAGAUAAUACAGAACCUACUUCGCCAAAAUGGAGAAAAUUGAGGUCAGUAUAAUUUCCAAACACACCAUCAAACCAUCAACUUCCUCUUCACCACUUCAGCCUUACAAGCUUACCCUGCUCGACCAGCUCACUCCUCCAUCGUAUGUCCCCAUGGUAUUCUUCUACCCCAUUACUGGCCCUGCAGUCUUCAAUCUUCAAACCCUAGCUGACUUAAGACAUGCCCUUUCCGAGACUCUCACUUUGUACUAUCCACUCUCUGGAAGGGUCAAAAACAACCUAUACAUCGAUGAUUUUGAAGAGGGUGUCCCAUACCUUGAGGCUCGAGUGAACUGUGACAUGAAUGAUUUUCUAAGGCUUCCGAAAAUCGAGUGCCUAAAUGAGUUUGUUCCAAUAAAACCAUUUAGUAUGGAAGCAAUAUCUGAUGAGCGUUACCCUUUGCUCGGAGUUCAAGUUAACAUUUUCAACUCCGGAAUAGCAAUCGGGGUCUCCGUCUCUCACAAGCUCAUCGAUGGAAGAACUUCAGACUGUUUUCUCAAGUCGUGGUGUGCUGUUUUUCGUGGUUCUCGUGACAAAAUCAUACAUCCUAAUCUCUCUCAAGCAGCAUUGCUUUUCCCACCAAGAGAUGACUUGCCUGAAAAGUAUGCCCGUCAGAUGGAAGGGUUAUGGUUUGUCGGAAAAAAAGUUGCUACAAGGAGAUUUGUAUUUGGUGCGAAAGCCAUAUCUGUAAUUCAAGAUGAAGCAAAGAGCGAGUCCGUGCCCAAGCCAUCACGAGUUCAGGCUGUCACUAGUUUUCUCUGGAAACAUCUAAUCGCUACUUCUCGAGCACUAACAUCAGGUAUGUAAAAUCAGUUUAGCAACAAGCCAAAUACUAAAGCAACUAAAUAAAAACCUAUUGUAUUUGGGGUAGUCCCUUAUUAGCUGUUGUCCUAAACUUCUAACGAUAUGAACUUUUUUCUCAAAAGAAAAAAAUAGUACACUUAACAUUUUCUGUUAUAAUUUCAUACUUAUUUAUAUAUUUUUAUUACAUACAUAGCUCAAAGAAUGAGAAAAUAUAUGAACCUGCAGGUACUACUUCAACAAGACUUUCUAUAGCAACCCAGGUAGUGAACAUAAGAUCACGGAGGAACAUGGAGACAGUGUGGGAUAAUGCCAUUGGAAACUUGAUAUGGUUCGCUCCGGCCAUACUAGAGCUAAGUCAUACAACACUAGAGAUCAGUGAUCUUAAGCUGUGUGACUUGGUUAACUUGCUCAAUGGAUCUGUCAAACAAUGUAACGGUGAUUACUUUGAGACUUUCAUGGGUAAAGAGGGAUAUGGAAGCAUGUGCGAGUAUCUAGAUUUUCAGAGGACUAUGAGUUCUAUGGAACCAGCACCAGAGAUUUAUUUAUUCACGAGCUGGACUAAUUUUUUCAACCAACUUGAUUUUGGAUGGGGGAGGACAUCAUGGAUUGGAGUUGCAGGAAAAAUUGAAUCUGCAUUUUGCAAUCUCAUAACAUUAGUUCCAACACCAUGCGAUACUGGAAUUGAAGCGUGGGUGAAUCUAGAAGAAGAAAAAAUGGCUAUGCUAGAACAAGAUCCCCAGUUUCUAGCACUAGCAUCUCCAAAGACGCUAAUUUCAAGAUAUUGAUUAAGGAAGAUUAUGCGGCUCGUGCAAUGUUUCCAUUUUGUUGUGAUUAAGGCUUAAAUUAGUUCACCAGCCAAUCAAUAAGAUGCAAGUAUGAUAGACUCGGUCUACGUAUGUUAUCCGAAUGUGUUUCCACAUGCUUGUAACCAAUAUAGCUCUUGUUUGUAACAAUGCUCUAUUAAGCUCUUCUAUCCAUAAAGUUAUUUCUCUAUUAAAAAGAAAACUAUACAAGUUUUGUUAAGUUUUUAAGGUAAGAUGCAUGUAGUACCCAAAAAGAUGGUUGACCUGUCAUUAUUUUCAAGUACAUGAUUAUCCGAUACAAUUACAUCAAAUAUUUCUAUAGCUAAAAAGUAUGUAAUUUUGAUCCGUGACAACAUGAUUAAAAAGUUAUAUAUUAUGAUGCAUUUAUCCUCUAACGACAAGCAUGGUCAUAAUGUCUCACCUCAUCACCUCACCAAGCGCGGAUCCAGUUCACAAGUGGGUAAGGCUCAAGCCCAACCAAGAAAAUUGGGGGAAAAAAAAACCUAAGUAUAGAUAUAUAUUUUUUUGGGUGAUAUAUCAUAUAUGCCCAGCCAUCAAGUGACCAAGCCCAACCCACCUAACUCAACCCAUCCCACUAACUACCCAAGUCCACAAUCAUCACUCAUCACUCAUCCACCCAACCUCCUUCAUCGAAGGAGUCCUUUAACUAAUCAGCUUAAACACCAAGUCUAAAAGUCUUCCCUGCUCUUCCCCUCCGCCUCCACUCAGUCACUCACCUAUGACCUAUCCCGGCUAUCCGGCUAUCCCUCUUCCCCUCCAGUCCUCCACGGCUCCACCAUAAUCUCCUUCUUCCCGGCCUCCUCCGGUCCUCCGAUUCCUCCCGGAUAGCGACGACUCGCCUCCGGCGGUCCGGACCUCCGCGGCUCCGCCUCCAGUCCUCCACUCACCUAUCCCUCUUCCAGCUGCUAGAAAGCUUGUUCGAGACUUGGUCCUCCACAGACAACCCAUUAGUCCAUUACCCAUCUUUCUUCACUCUCAGCCAGCAUGGUUGUACUAGAAAUUUUUUUUUGGCCUUCGGCCAAAGUUCAAGCCCACCCCAUCUUUAAAUCAUGGAUCCGCCACUGCACCUCACCAUAGUGUCCUAUCCUCUUAGGAGAAGGUAGGCACCUAAUGCAAAGGCCUUUAUGAGAGACUAAUAUCGUCUGAUCUUCUUUUCUUAAUCAAAAGAAAUGAAAAUGGCCACAAUGCCUCACUAUUCAUAGAGCCAUACAAUACUCUGGAACAUAUGCAUGGAGACAAAGAAAAAUAACACAAGAACCAUUAUAAUUUCACUUUAUACGGGAAACUUAGCUAAAUCCGAAUCAUGGGCGGAGCCAACCCAGGUGAAAUUUUGAAGCCCAAAAAAUUACCUGAAACAUCGUCGUUUGGGUGUAGGUUAUUUCUCCGUUUACUUCUUCUCAAUCUUAGUCAUAACUCACACCAUUGCGUCCGUAGCCCGUCGUUGUCGCUAGAGCGGUCGCCAUUUCCCAUAGCCCGCGCCGUCGCCCGUAGACCACAUCCCGAGUCAGUCAGUCCCCACUUGGCUACUUCCCCAGGUAUGGCUCAAUCGGAUUGCUUAUAUUCUGAUCGUGGACAUAGCAGGCUUCAAUUCAAAAGCCAUCAUAUUCAUAUGCUUCAAUGUUGCUUUACUUCGUCUAUAACUAGAGUUUCAGCUUUGCUUCGUCUUCAAUGUUGAUAUGUUGAUAUAAAAUAUUAACUUGAUUAGGAUUUGUUGAUAUAGAAUAUUACCUUGAUUAGGAUUUGUUGUUAUGUAAUAUGUAUUAGGAUAUUUAUUACUCAUAUUAGGAUUUGUUAUAUGAUCUUACAUCCUUACGAAUGAAUAUACAUCAACACAAUCGAAAUCUGCAUGGUCAUAUUAGCCUUAACUAGUUCAGUCCAAUUCAUAUUAGUCUUAAACUAGUUCAGUCUAAUUCCUCAUGGGUAUAUGCUGAACUUUAAGAUGUUGAUCUUCUAUAAUAACUGAGUUCGAUACCAGAAAUCUUUGAUGAUUGUCCACAUAUGUUAUCUUAUAAUCCUAUAUUAAUUUGUACUAAUCUCAUAGUCUUAAUUUGAAAGCUCCUUAUACGUCUUAACUUGGAUAUGGAUGUGGAUUUGAUCUUAUUAUAUGUAAUAUUAAAGUGAAGUUGUUGUAUUACACAGAAUGUUUGAUGAAUAAAUAACAAAUUGAUCGCGUCAAAAGGCUAGAUCAAAAAAUUUCUUGCACCAUCGAACAAAUUUUCUUGUGUAUACAAUUUCAUGGUUCCGCCACAUUGGCAACAAAGAGUGAUUGGAAAAGAAGAACACCCAGAAAGAUAAAAACCAUAAAACUUGUUUAAGCGAAAAAAACAAAAGUAUGCCAUUCAUUUCUUCUUGCGGUUUUGUUAGGCCAAAAAUCAAAAUCCCAUGAUACCCAAUCAGUUACACACUCUCCCUCUCAAUCUCUACAGAACUGACUGCUUCCCCUGAAAACUUGCGCAAUAAGGUACCCAUCUCUCUGGCCUUUUCUUUGUAAUGCAUAUAAGUUCCUGUAAAUUUUAAAGCUUUUGGAAUGAUGAUUUUAUGCUUGUGGAUCUCAAGAUGAGUUUGUUUGUUUUUUUCGGGAUUUUUAUAAUGAAUGCAUUGAAAAUGUUGAAAGCUUAUGCCUUUGUUCCUUGGUUCAGUGUUUUGGUUUUGUAUACGAGAGUUGAAAUGUGAUCUCUAGCUUGACUGUUGGUAUUGGUAAAGAGAAAUGUUCUAGAAAACCAUGCUAGUAUUAGUAAGUUAUCUUCUAAAGUUGUUCGAGUACUGUACUAAGCAUAGGAAAUAACGACCUAAGCUACCUUAUUUUCGUUAGUGCUAGCUGCUAUGAGAAACUUACCCAAUUCGUUGUUAAAAAUAGGGAAAAUACCCAAAUACUCAAAAAUUAGAAAGCUAAAACCCAUUCCAAUGAAAUUAUAAUCCUUUAGCUCAUUCCUAUGUUACACCGAUACUCCACCCCACGGACACUCCAACACUCCCGACACACCGAUAUCGAUACGAUACACCAAAAUGUGUGUCCGACACGCCACGUGGCGUGUCAAAAAAAGUUGACUUUUUAGACACGUUACGUCAGCCUGAGACACGCCAAGUCAGUGUGUAUUGAUUGAAAAAAAAAAAUACAGAACUAAAAGUCUAAAACCUAAUCGAAGAGGAAGCCCACUUUAAAGAAGCCGCAUAGAAGAGGAACGAUGUCACCGUUCACUAUCACUGCGAGAACGACGUCGUCUGUCCAUGUCAGUGUGAUUGUUCCUCCGAUGACACCACUCUGCGAGAACGACGAGAACAGCGUCGCCUUUCUCUGUUACAGCGACUCGUCCUCCGUCGGCCUAAACCCUCUCUUUAGUGUAAGGUUAAUCUUAAUCUCAGCUUUGACGUGUUUGGUGAUUGCAGUCUCAUUUGCAGUAACAGAAAAGCAUAUAAGAUUUUAAUCAUUUUAUGAUCAUUCUGAUACCACUUAUAGAUUUUUAAGGCAAUGUGCUAUUGAAGCAUCUGCACUGUGAUGUUAAGUGUCAUGAUAUUGCUCAAUUGCUGAUAGGGUAGGAUGGAGCUAGACAUUUGAGACUUUGCAAAAUUGAGUUUAUACCUACUAGUAUUAGAUCAUCAAUUAGUUGAGAGUUUGUAGGAGGUCAGGUUUUAUACUUGGUGAGAAACAUCGGCUCAUCUGUAUUUGUAAGGAAGAUUUAAUUGAAAGGAGUUGUGUAUGGAUUGCUUAUUUGUUUAUCUUUGCUCUGUUAAUUGUUAAUAUGUUAUGAUAUGCUGCUGUGUCUAUGCUGAUGUGCUUAUGCUACUGUGUGUCUAUGCUACUGUGUCUAUGCUAUUGUCUUAUGUUGUUUUGUUGGAUUAUUAUGAUUAGGAUGAGUUCAAGUGCGACAUCUACUGAACCUAGUGUUGAAUCAACUAAGCCUGAAAAAUUAGAUGCUCCUCUAUCAAGGAUAAAGGAUGAUGCCAAUGCAUGCGUGCCUUGCUCUUAUGUAUUUUGAAUAUCUCAGUUAUGGGGUUUUAGGCAGUUGGUGUUAUUAUAGGGUUAGGAAAGUCGGAUUUUCAUUCAGUUUGAUGAAUGUGUUGAAUUAGAUAAAACUAUUUAGUAAUCAUCCUUUAGAUUAAAUAUUGACUCUCUUUUAUGUUAUUUGUUACAGUUAUGCAAUUGCUUAAAUUUAGAGCAUUAUUUAAGCAAUGUGAUAAAUUUAUUCAUAUUUGAGCAUUUUUUUAUUAAUUAGAAAUAUACAAAUAAGUAAUUAUAUUUGCCGUGUCUAAGCCGUGUCGAAAAUGUAGUCUUUGAGUUUUGCCGUGUCGCCGUGUCAGUACGUAUCGUGUCGCCGUAUCCGUGUCCGUGUCCAUGUAACAUAGGCUCAUUCCAAUGAUUCUUAUGCAAAAGACAUUAUUANNNNNNNNNNNNNNNNNNNNCUCUCUCUCUCUCUCUCUCUCUCUCUCUCUCUCCUCUCUCUCUCUCUCUCUCUCUCUCUCUCUCUCUCUCUCUCUCUCUCUCGGUGUACGACGAUGCAAGGUUGAAGACGCAGCCUCCUACUGAGUCGACGAGACCGCGCUCGUGGUCGUGAUUCUCCUCAACAGCGACAUCGAUUUUGGCGGCACCUCUCGGAGAUGAUCCUCAUCUGCCAGAACCUCUGCAACAAUCUCUAGAGCCCUAACGAGCACAUCCGGGGCGUCACGCUCCAGUUCCUCUACUGGUUGAGCAAGUUGGAGAUUGUCCGGCCGUUGAUUUCAUCGAUUUUGGCCAAUCUAGUCAGAGAUUGAGGUCUGUGUUUAGUGCAAACAUGGAUAACGUUCUUCUUCUCCUUUUUUUAUCGGAGAUCGUGUUUUUGUUUUUGUUUUGGUCAGAGAGAUUGUGGUUUUUUCCCCUUUUUUUUUCAAUAUAAUGGUUAUUAAAUGAUAGUAUCUUGAUUAUUGGAGUAAUUAGUCUAUUAUUGGGAGGUAAGAAGUAUCUAGUGGAGGUCAAUAAACAUUUAUUGACCCCAAUAUUGCUUUUAUAAAUUUUUUUUGAGAUGUAGGGAUUUGCCUUAGAGGUAAAAACUUCCUUUUUAACUCGAUUACUAGGAAUCAUUAACUGAUUAUUGAGGUUAAGUAACUGAUUAUUGAGGGUCAGUAAGUGAUUAUUGGGGUUCAGUAACUGAUUAUUGGGGGUUAAUAACUGAUUAUUGGGGGUCAUUUUGAGAGUCAGUAACCGAGUUAUUGGUGAUCAGAAUCCAGCAACCGGAAAAAAUCUGAGUUACUGGGGGUCAGUAACUAAGUUACCGGUUAUCGGAAUCAGGCGACCGGAGAAAAUAUGAGUUACUAGGAGUCAAUAACGGCGACCGAAGAAAUUUCUGGCAACCGGGGACCGGAAUCCGGCGACCGGCAACCAGAGUCCGGCGGCGGGUGACCGGAGUCCGGUGAGAUUCCGGCCAAGUAUUCUCUCUCUUCCACUUUCUCUCUCUAUACAUGUUGAAGUGGUGAGAGUAAAAUUGUCUUAAAAAUAUAUAAAAAUUAUUUUUUAUUAUAACAUUAGUAAAGAUUUGUGCAUAAAAAAUGUUACCUUAUAUUGGAAUGAGCUCAUGAAAAAGAUUAACAUUAAAAUGGGGAAUAAGAGGUUUAAAUUAGUAUUAAAUUGACAUUUUCCCUUUAAAAUAAUAACAGAACCAUCAAUGCCGUGAUAGUCCCUUAAUAUUUGGUGGCUAAUUAGUAAUGCAUUCAUGGUAGUUGUGCUUAUUUUGUGCAUGUAUUCUAAUUCUAUCACUUGCAAAAUCGUUGUGGAAGGUUAAGAGGAGAAAACAGAAAAUGGGGCAGCAUGCAUCUCAUUUUAUUUCCGAUCAUAUUUUCAUAUCAUAGACGUUCACUAUUUAGAUAUACAUGAGUUGAUCAUCUCUACAAAAUUUCAACUAAUUUAGUUAUCAUUAAGGUAUCGAAAAUGUAUUAAAUCAAUGAACGAACCGAAUCUGUUCAUCCUGAACUGUACGUUCUAUUAGUUCUAAAUCACAGUUUUGAAUGUCUUAAUGAUUAUCAACUUGGCUGAAAAUUUAUAUAGAUGAUCUACUGAUAUAUAUACCUAAAAUAUGAACGGUUGAGAUGAGAAAAUAUGAUCGAAAGUGGGACAAAUAAUGAAAUCCGUACCUUAGAUAAGGUAAGGAGGUCCUUACCUGAUCAAGAUUGUGUGUGUGUGUCUAUAGAGUUUAGGGUUUAGAGUUUUAGGGUGUCAUGAAGAUAUCAUACAUCCUAAUCUCUCUGAAGCAGCAUUGCUUUUCCCACCGAGAGAUGACUUGCCUGAAAAGUAUGCCGGUCAGAUGGAAGGGUUAUGGUUUGCCGGAAAGAAUGUUGCUACAAGGAGAUUUGUAUUUGGUGCGAAAGCCAUAUCUUCAAUUCAAGAUGAAGCGAAGAGCGAGUCUGUGCCCAAGCCAUCACAAGUUCAGGCCGUCACUGGUUUUCUCUGGAAACAUCUAAUUGCUGCUUCUCGGGCACUAACAUCAGGUAAAAUCAGUUUAUCAACAAGCGUAAUGUAUUUGGGGUAGUCCCUUAUUAAUUAGCUGUUGUCCUAAACUUCUAACGAUAUGAACUUCUUUUUCAAAAGAAAAAAAAUAGUACACACUUAACAUUUUUUCUGUUAUAAUUUCACAUUAUUUAUAUAUUUUUAUUACGUAUAGUGUACUGUGUACAUAGCUCAAAGAAAGAUAAUAUAUAUGAACUUGCAGGUACUAACUACUUCAACAAAACUUUCUAUAGCAGCCCAGGCAGUGAACAUAAGAUCACGGAUGAACAUGGAGACAGUGUUGGAUAAUGCCAUUGGGAUCUUGAUAUGGUCGGCUCCGGCCAUACUAGAGCUAAAGUCAUACAACACCAGAGAUCAAU
rnacentral:lncRNA from 1 species